UCCUAUAAUUAAAAAGCAUGAAGGAUUAUUAAGUUACAGAAAGUUUGCCAAUGUGCUUGCAGUUUUACAAAAGCACAUACUUAAAAUAAUACUAUUUUCUCAUACAAGAAAUAAUAUAUAUUGAAAAAGAAAGGAAAGAAACAUCAAGUUCUUUUCUUUUUUCCUGCUGCAUUUAACUUUUCUACCUCAGAGCUCAGAUUACUUUUUUUAAUCAAAGUAGUAAUGGAAGAACAGUCCUUACACUCAAAUGCAAUCACAUUUAAUCAUGUUUAAUAUCCUUAUUUCUCAGCUGAUCAGACUUUAAAAAUUUGAUUGCUUUAGUUUGAUUUAAAACUUAAGGUAAGUCAAACCCAAUAAAAAAGUGUAUUUUUGUUGUUAGUGUGUUCCAGUUGUGUGGUUUCUUAAGGUGUUUGAGCUUUUGGCUGUUGUAUUGUGGAACGGAGAUUUCUGAGCACACUUUUAAUGGAGAUGGGCAGAGAUUAAAAUGAUGUAAUUUUAGCCAAACAUACUACAUUUUUUCACAAGAAAAAAUGAAUUGAUUUAGCCUUUGUCCUAUGAGAGACAACCUCUGAAUCACUAGAAAUAUAUUGUUUUAUUGUGGUGUCCUCUUCUGUUGUUUUCCUGAACUUCUUUCAUAAAAGCACUCAGUGGGAUGAGAUUAUUAGUUCUUUCUCUCUAUGAUAAACCCAAAAUAAUUCCAGCUGACAUUGAAGUCUCCCACCUCUGUCUGCAGCCUUAAUUUUCAGGCUGUGAAUGAAAGAUUGUAGCUGAAGUCAUGACUCCCAUGAGGUCUUUUGACUCUGUUAAAGUCCAUUAUAUUUGCUGCAAUUUCACCCUAAGUUCCAGAACUUAAUCUGACACACAAAAUUCUUGCUUCCUACUUGUAUUAAUGUAAGGGUAAACUGUGUACUAAACAUGCCAGACUUUAUUUUGAUGAACAACUGCAUUAUGUACUUCAUAUGGGAGCACACUAGUUGAAAGUCCCAUUCAUGACCACUGAUCAUGGUUGUGAAACAUGCUCAAAGACUAUAUGCUUUAAGAACAAAACUUUGGAGACUCAUUUGCUCUGCGGUGAGCUGAGUGUAGAUAAACACUCUCUUGAAAUCUCCCAAGUACUUAUACUACUUGCAGUCUUACUUCCAUGAGAAUGAAUAAAACAAUUAUGCUUUCAUAUAGACCAAAACUGCAAAAUAUGUUAAAACUUGAUCCUCCCAGUACAACAACAUACCUAAAAUUUGCUAAGCCACAGAACCGAGUUAAACUAAUGAAAAGUUCCAUUCCUUGUUAAUUUAAUGCAUAUGUUCUGGGUGGGUGAGAAGGAGCAGAGCAGGAAAGGGCAGACUAGUGCCAAAGUUCAGGGUCGAGUCACUAUGGAGGUUUAGCACAAUAUCAGAGAUUGAUCUUUGGAUUUCUGGAACUGUUAGACCAUGACAGUUUGACAGCCAUAGGUAAGCUGUAGGAAAGUUCCUCAUGAGAUACAGCUUAACAGCAAUGAGCUUUAUAUGGAAAGAGUACAAUUUCAUUAAUUUAGCAUGAAGGUGAAUUUAUAAAAUUAUGGACACUGCUUGGGAAUCAGGUAUGCCUCAGACUUAAGCUCUGUAACUUUAGGGUCACGUUAACAUAAUUUUAUGGUUACUUUCUUUAGUGUAGAUCUGUUUAUCUGGCAACCAGAUUUUACUUUCUGUGAAAUUCAUUAUACGUGCAAAAUCAAAAAACAACAAAGAGUGUAGUUCUGCUUGGCUGGGACUACCGUCCGUAUAAUGUAUUUUCUGGUUGCAGCCAGUGUACGUCUACCCAGCCAUGCCACAGCACCUACAACACAAGUGUAAAGUGCAAGAGAGGGAAAGUUCACCGUGAGUCUGUAAUGUGACUGUGCGGUGCUGGUUUUCAUUAAGUCUCCUGUGUUCAUAGUUUAGCCAAUUGUGAGGUAUUACAAAUACUGUAAUUAAAAAAAAAAAAACAAACUAGUACAUAACCUUAUGUCUUGAUGAUGUUCCAGUUGGCUAGCAUUGCUCUGCCUUACAUUGUUUGGCCUAUUUUUCACUCAGAUGCUGUGUUUCGGUUUAAUAGCCAAAAUUGUCAUGCAAAGCUGCUUCAUAGUUUCCGUAUGCCACUUAAGAGGUGGAUGAGCUUUGAAAGUAAUGUGAAGUGAUUCUCUCAUAGCUUGUAAUGCAGUUUGGUACAGAAGGAGCUGCAUUGAUAUAAGAUGAUGAUUUAAGGUUUGGCAGACGUUGAGUAACAGUUACCAUGCAUUUUUCCUCCUAAUUCUCCUAAUUCAACUUAAUAGGCAAAUCAUGUUUUCUCUCUGAUUUCCUGAUCAUUCUCCAUUAACCUGAAGUCUUUGAUAAAUAUGCAUUGCCUCAUAAUGUUGCAUAAACAAUUUUUAGAUGGCAAAUAGCGAGUAAACAAAACCCAAGUUAAAAUUAUAUUAAAGACUUUGAUGGCUUAUUAAUCAUUUAUACAAAGCUUAUUAAUCAAAUGGAUACUUUAAAACAAAAUGCUUUCUUCCAAAAUCAGAGAACAGAUGCUAUGAGGGCCUUAUCUCUAUUAGUAGGUGGAAGCUGGCAGGAGCCAGUUCUCCGUCAUCCCUGAUUCACUUUUAAAUGUUUAGACUCCGGAAACCAGAGUACAUCCUCAUACUAACUCAUUAGUUAUGUCUACAUGUGAAUCUUUGAUUCAAUGGUUUUGUGUGCUCCUGGUGAAAAGGUUACCAUACACAAAGGCCUGUCUUUCUCCUCCAGCACAGUUUUCUUCUCUUUUCCUUGGUCCUUCAUUUACUGCUAAGUUUGUCUAUCUCUCUUUUCCAUCUCUUUAGAGCCUUGUGAAUAAAUGAGUAACUUUGCUUUAUAUGUCCAAGAACUAAUUGAUUUGAAAAUAACACAAUGGAUCACACCUUCACCUCCCCCAAUUUAGCUCUCCUCUACUAACUGAAGGUUUCAGCACCCCAAGAGAGAGUGUAGCAAUACCAAUGGCUGAAUCAGCACUCACAACAGUUGCACGAGUGCCAGUUUGGGACACGAAAACAAGCACUGGAGACUGGGGAGAAACCACGGAUGGCAGGACUACUUGAUGGAGAAAAAGACUUGCAUCCAAGCUGAAUGAAAAACUUUGGAGAAAGGUAGAAACAAGGAGAUGGGAGAGUAAAACUGGUAAACCUUCUGCAAUUAAUCUUAAAAGAUAAAUUUGGUGCUACCUGUGAAACGAUACUUGACAGGCUGGUUACUGUUUUACUUCUGAGCUUCUGCAGUGAGAAGCUCAGGUUCAGUAUUGCGGUGCAGCUGGGCCAUAAUUGUAGAGGAGUUGGGUCCCUGAGGAUAUGGAAUCACAGUUCAGUUCUUCUGAGCUCCUAAAUCAAAGCUGUAGUAAGAAGUAGCUGCUCUUACUCAAGAUCUUCUGAUUAAUGUAUUCUUAAAGUUAUGGGGGAAAUUCUGCAUUAUUUGAAGUCAAUAGCAAAUUCAUAUUGGCUUUGUAAGGGCCAAGAUUUACCUGCCAUUUAAACAAGGGAGAUCAUCUUUUGUCAUGUGUUAAAACUUUUCCUGUCGAAGCAUUAUUUCUUCCGAAGUAUUUAACUUGCCUAGUCGAACAUGUGUUAAAGGAUACACAGCCUGGCCCACAUUUAAACAUGUUAGCUGGACCAUGUUAAGAUUCACCCUUUAAUUCCUAGUCUAGACAAAGGCACACUCUAUAAGAGAGGGAAGAAGCUGUCUACAAUCUGAGUGAUUAAUGGGCUGAAAGCAGAUGUGAGAUAUAAAAGAGUUUGUAAGCUUCGUCUACUACCUGGAGGUAAAGUUUGGCUGUCGCAAGCAAGAGAAAAGGGAUACAUUUCAAAGGGGACUGGAAAUGCAGCCAAAAUGCAUUAUAUGAUUAUAGAGCCAGGACUGACUUUGAUCACACCUCAAAAGUAAAACAAACACGAGCAUGAAGAAGAAAGGGUUUUUUUCCCCCAAAAAUAGCUCAAAAGGAUGAAUUCAUUAAAGAAAAACAAGCACUCUAGGGCAAUGCUACCAAACAUGACUUGGUGUUUUAAAUCCCUCAUCCUCACUUUAAGAGUGAAUGUGACUCUGCUUAGGGCACUGGUGUAACCCUGCAGCUUCACUUGAUCCCCAGGGAGAGAAAGGGGUUGCUGUGAACCUUUGUGUACAUGUAAUCUAUCCGGAAACAAGUGUGGUCUAGCUAGUGCACUUUGUGCAGUCUGGUAUGCAGGUAACCUAACACAGAGCCAUCAAAUAACUGGAGAUCAGUACCAAUGGAGAAAAGAACCAAUGUAGCAAGACAGAAAAUAAAAUAACACCAACUUACUUGGAGAAACAUCUGCGGAUCACAGAGCUGCAGAACUGGGUGCCAUUAUCUCAAUUUUAAAGAAGAAAGCUAGAGAAAGGAGAUGUGAAAUAGUUUAUUCCAGUCAUUCAAGCCUGAAAGGUAAAAAUCCUAGAUCUCUGUUUCAAUCUGCUGCUGUCUUAUAAACACCUACUAGGAAAGAAAGGGGAAAGUAUAUUUUUAUAUAUAUUCUAGUCUAGACUCAAAGGAAUAGGCAGCAUGAUGAACAAAGUAUAUUCUCUCUUUGUGGUUAGAGUUUACUUAAGAAAAUUUUACAAUUUAGGAAAGCAAAAUAAAUUGUCUGUUUGUUUAGGGAGUUUAAUUGCUAAGACUGAGGAAUGUCUCAUCCAGAAACCAAGUCAGAUUUAAAAAAUGCUUCAGUUUUAAAAUCUUGUUUUGUAUACUUUGUUAUAGGGAGAAGUCAAGCUCCCUGGGUGUUUAUAUAGUUUAGAACAGACAUUUCUGUUCAAGCUGACAUCUGAUAAUAUUUGGAACUUUACACUUGCAAACCUCUGCAGGUAUUAAGUAACUUUAUAAUAUAAUUGUGAGACGUGCAAAAGACUGCAGUCCCAUUUCUAUACCCCACUUUUCCUGGCUAUGUAUGAAAAAAAGUCAUGUAAACUCAGAGAAAGGCAACAUCACUGAAUAUUCUGAUACCCUCCACACAAGAGACUGAGGACUUGGAUUUGCAGUGUCCUGUAUUUUGGGUAGUUUUACCUGUAUUUAGAUUGAAGAAAAUUAUAUGAAGAGAGGAAGUAGGUUUUCCAGGUUGCUUUGUUCUUCUCUCUGGAGUCUCUGCUUUAUUUGGUGCAUCACACACAGUCUCAGAGCCUCAAUUUACCCAUGUUCAGAAAGGUGGGGAGACAUAUUUGCUCUUUCUAAAAAUAUUGGAGAGCUAUUUCUGCUGUUUGUUUUAAAAUGCCCAGUAUUUCUUAGGUCUGAUUUAUAAUUUAUAACAGGUAUCCUCAUGUGAUUGUGUGGGGACAGAGGUCUUCUAAAAUCUUAAUAAGAAAAAGUAUAAACAAGUUCAGGUUAUGCCAGUGAUUUUCUGGAAAGCUACACUGGUUAAGAUUGUAAUUUAUUUACUUAUUGGUACUGUUCCUAGCAAAACCUCUAACAAAACAAAAAUACACCAGCAAAAGAACUUAUAUCUGGAUGUUUAACUGUGCAUCCACUAGAAAGGUAUUUCUUGCAUACUAGAACCAGGAAAUCUUUGGUGGUACAGACUAGGUCUAUGAACACAUUUUAAGUAAUUCCAACAGUGGAGAGUGUAUCUAAUUUGAAAAAGAUUGCUCUGAUAAUGCAUUAACAAAUAAAAAUAAAUCACACUGAACCUGGAAAAAGAACAAACAUUUUUUUUUUUACUUCAAGGAAAAAUUCUGAUAUCAAAAAUAGGAGUAGAGAAUGGUUUCAAAAAGCAAUACAAACCUUACUGACCUUCUUUUAUUUUUUAUUUAUUUAUUUUUUUUUUUUUACAUUUUAACAUUUUAAGUCUUAUUUUGCACCUUAAAAGAAAAAAAUAAAUAAACACAACAAAAAAACCCUAACAAACCAUGAAAAAUAACAUAUAAUCAGUCACCCUUUUACCAGUACCUUCUUCAGCUGUGAUUGUAAUAGGAAUACGACAGCCUCAGUUCCUCUGUUAAGGGAAAGGGUGAAGUCUUCAUUUACUUCUAGUGUAAUAGAUUAAACUAGAGAAUCCAUUUUAGUCAGGGAAGAGUGGAUGUUGGUGAAGUUAUGAGCUUACUGCACCUUUUAAAAUGAAAUAUUUAAACAAGUGGAACCUUACGUGGUUGAUGCAUUAAGCUGACAUAGAAUGUAAAUCAAACAACACCUAAAUGUCCUUUAACAAAGUCAAUUAUAUUAUAUAAGCCUAACGGAGAUGGAACUCCUUUAUCCUGUGCAUCUGCCAGUUUUUUCUUUUGAGACAAAAACCUUCCCAUAGAUGCAGAAUAUCAUUUAUAACUGCUUGGCAUUGUGCUAUAAACUUAAAAGAAAUUAAACAAAAUGUAUUUUUUAUUAAUGUUAUUGAAAAAUGUUGUCCCAUAAUCUAAACAUCUACUGGAAACAUCUAGUCAGUUCCUGAAAUCGUCUCUAUUAGAUUAUGUAGAUACCAUCUAUGAAAAUACUUCUAAACUUAAUCUGUCAAGACUUCAAAGAGUCUAUAAGCAAAUACUUAGAUUUGCAUUAGAUUUUUGACUUUGAAAUCCAUUAUUGUGAGUUCCUUGCUGACUUUGAUGUGUUACCUUUACACCUCCUCCCUGAGAAAGGAGGUGUAAAGGCAGCACAUUAGUUUAUAGAUGUUCACAGACUGUUUUUCGGAUAAGGCCAUUUAAAUCUCUUUUGAAGGUCAAUCUCAGCUCUUAUCAUUCAAGAAGUAAUAAUAACAGAGAAAGUCUGCCUAGAGUAAGGACUGCUUUAAAACACAAAAUAGCAGGGGUGGAACGAACUUACUUAACUCUUGACCUAGCACAAUAUCAGCAUUCUAGUGUUUUGCAGUGACAAUGCCCUGCUAAGGCAGAGUGUGAAAUUUCAAUAUAGGUGUAUGGAAUUAAAUGUUUAAGGAGAACAAGAGGUUGCAGCUGUUUACAGCUGGCUUAUUUUUUUUCUCUGUUUUUUUUGAUUUAUUUAUUGCAAUUAAUAACAUACUGAUGAACUAUUCAAAUACUGCUUGAAACACUCAGUAAGAUACCCCAUGUUCAAACACAGGACACAAACUUCUUUUAUGCAUAUGACAAGAUUUUCAAACUUAGCUGACUAAAGUUAGACUUUGAAAAUAAUCUGGAAGCAACUUUCUUGUUUUUCCCAGGCCCGUUUUUUCUCUUCACCAGACCUCUCUACUUACUGUGCACGUAGGUGCCUAUAUUUGGGAUGUUUUCUGCCCUUCUGGCAUGCAUGUCACUUCACUAUAAGUCAUAAGAUGAAUUUUGAACCAUUUUGGAAUAUUAUUGUCUUGGUCCUUGUCAUUGUUUUCCUCUGAACAAGAAAAAUGUGUAAUCGAUUUUUCUUCUUUUAAGAAACAGCUAUAACAAAGUCUGUUUCUUGUCACUUUGUCUAGGUUCAUUUUGAUUUCAGUCGUUAUUUGUCAUAUGUAACAGUCUUAUAUAGACAAAGUAGUUGGGGAGGUAUUGCUUCCACAUAAGGGAUCUUAUUCUCAGAAGAUGGAACCUUACUUUUGAGUGCAAAGUUUGACAAAGAAGACCCAGAAAAUACUGAAAUUAUUAAAUAUGGUAGGGAACAACAUUUAGUAGAUUUUUUUUUUUUCCUUUUGUAGGUUUUGGAUGAAGUUUGGCAGCAAUUCAUGGCAUUACAUGUUCUGCUAGUUGAAUGCUGACGACUCCAACUUUGCAAUAACUAGAUUAUUUGCAUGUGAUUUGGCAGCAGAGGCAUGGAAGAUUUGUCAACCACUUUUCUGAAGAUGGAAAGUAAUGCAUAGAGAUGAAAUUAUUUAGUGUUUCAUAGACUCUCUGUCAGAGCAAGUAUUUGCGGUCACUGUUCCUAAGGUCUAGGUAAGUUCAGAUCAUCUCAGUAGCUUUUUUUUCUGGGUCUAGAGCUUACUUCAUGACUAUUGCAGCAAGAGAAGGAGAAUUCACGUGUAUGAGCCACACUUCUGCAUGUAGUUAUAAGGAUUGUUGAACAACUUAACACCAGUUGUGGCUUGCAUUAAAAGAAUUUUCUUUAGAGGUAGUACUCUGGUGAUUUUUUUGUCAGUACAAUAAGUAUAUUGCUCUGACUGCUCUAACUUCACAGGCAGGUUGGAGCAUUUGUGCCACAAUCUGUACUGUGGAAAGCUGGAGGAAAGCAACAGCUUGUGUGUAGAAAGGCUACUAAGCCCUCUGCACACCGGGAAACAGUUUUUUAUCCUGAACUUUCCAAUCUGGCCUAGAAAUAAAAGCAAUCCUAAUGUAGGUCAGGAGGAAAAGAAGUAGUUUAGGCCUCUUACCCUAAGCCUACGUGCUGUAGUAGGGAUCAUUCACAUCACUGAAGUCAAGCACUAGAUUUAGAUAGUUAAAACUUUAACUCCUGUAGUGAUGAUGAGGAAUAUCCAGGAUCUACUUAGAUAAGUGUAAGCUUAUAUUUCUCAAAUGCAAAUGAAAAGGAAGUAUGCCUCAAAUUCUUAAGACAUUGGCUGAAUCUGAGUCAAGAACUUCAGUGUAUAUAUAGAAAAGGAUCAAAAUGAAACUUCUUUUACAAAUACUUAGGUAAAGAUUUGCGAUUUUAAGACUCCAGGGUUAUUUCUUUAAAACCUUCACAUGUAUCAUAUUCCUUCCCUUCUUAGUUUAAGAAAAAAAAAAAAAAAAAAAAGCAAGCACCCUCCCAAUAAAACCCAAAACUGCCCAGCAGAAUCAAUGCGGAGGAUCUCAAAUUCCACUUCUCUAUGAUGUAGUGCUGCUUGGGAUCCAGUUUUCCCCUUUUCCUGCUGAUCUGUCAACAGCAAUGUAUUUGCUGUCUGCCUGAAGAUCGCUGGAGAAGUGCCCAGUCAUAAUCUUCCCCUUAUUGAUUCUGGUCAGCAGCUAUUGACAGCUUUAAAAAGAUUAUGUUUUAAUUGGGGAUCAGAUAGAUGGCAUUUUAAGGUAUUUAAUUUCACUUUGUAACUCACUAUAGAUUAUCUGAGUGGUUCCACAACUCAAGGAGGAUAAAGAUGAAUGUGUUGUCCUUUUCUUUAGGUGACCCUGAGUGCAAAUGUAGCUCAAACUAAAGUGACUGAAAAUCUUUUUCUAUCAAUGGGCUGAAAAGGUUGAAUGUGAAUUCAUUAGUGUUAUCUUUGUUUAAGGCACAAUAUGUACACCUCACCAAGCUCACAUCUUCAGUGUUCACACUUGUUCUCAUGUGAUUUAAGAGUGAAAUAGACUGGUGAGGUAAAUUCAGAAAAAUCAAGAUGAAGAGUUAGAAUCCACAUUGUCUUGAAACUUGUAUGUUCACUCACAGCUCUACAAAAUGAGUGCGCAGAAGUACCAUGAAAAAGAUGGGAUAUAGGUUCCUAAUUUGAUGGCGAUGACUUCUUUGCCUCACAAAGGAGGUUCAAGGCAGCGCUGAAUAAACAGAUUCCUAAAAUUGUUUUCUGCACAUUUAAAGGAAUGAAGACAUUCUUACAAGGAAAAACAAUUCAAGAGACAGGAAAUCAAAACUAAAUACUGAAUUCUGAGACCUACACACCACCAUGUAGCUCAGCCUAAACAGCCGAAGUCUGAUAAUCCCACUUUCAGUACUCAAAAUUGUCUGGUGUACUGUCUAAAGGUGCCUUCAAGAAAUCUAGAUCCACCUCACCAGGAGAUGCUUAAUAACACAUGCUGAUGAAGUUCAGAACCUAGCAUUCUGUACAUGCUAGAUGGACCAAGGAUUAUAAUUUCAGAUUUACUGGGUAUAAAUUUGAGGAUAUUUUUCCCAGAGAUGCAAAACUUUUUUAAAUGUCCAGGCUUGAUUCAAGGACUCUGAAAACUGUAUUGGAUUUUCCCACAUCCAGCUAAGUAUUGCAUAGAUAUUCAUCAUCUUGAGUGUAACAGAUCUGAUGUGUCUCAAUUAUAUAAAUUUCUCUAGACGGUAAUACCUAGCACAUCAUUGUUGAUGUCUGUGAAAUACUCUAUAUAUGAAUAUUGCAAUUUUAGUUAAGGUAAAAGGUUGAAAGACCCUCUGGUUCUUAAUUUCAUCAUCCAAGAACAUGGUCAUUGCUUUACAUAGUAAACUAGACCCCACUGAAGAAUUAUAGAAGAAAGCUUGUUUGUUGUGCAUAAUGGUUGUAAGAUGUUUUCGUAUGCAGGUAAACAACUAUUGUUUAGUGAUAAUAUUCCUCAUACACCAAUAGAUGAAAGGAAGACCCAGGUUGUGUGAGCUGAAGAGAAUCUUAAAGAUCCCUUGUAAAGGGUGAAGUCAAUGAUUGGAAUAUAGAGAGCUGAAUGUCCAAAAUAUUUGCGCCCUUGAUAUCCUUCAUAGAUUUUCAAAAUACAUUUAAUAGGUACUUUUUUUUUUUUCUUUGUGCUUCCUCAUCUCACUUACUCGAAGUCAUUAAAUCUCUUCACUGUCUCCUAGGCCAUGCAAGUUGACAGAGUUGUGUGUGGAGAGAAAUAAAGUGUGAUGUGGAUGCCUGAAAGAGGCCAAAUGAAUUGUAUGUGGAAGGUACAAAAUUUCUUCCUCUGCCUAUAGAACCACUUCAGUUCAAGACAUCUGUAAUAGUGAGAUGCAUCCCACCUGCUUUUACUUGAGGCUGUCUACCAUAGUUAGACUUUGGCUGCAACAACACAAGGUAUGGAAGGCAUUUCUUUUCCCUGCAGUACUUCCACAGGCUCUGCCACCUUUGUCCCUGCUGCCAUUGCAGAGCCUGAGGACCUCACAGUCAGGAACACACUCAUUCCUUCUCACACAGCUCAUGAGACUGGGAAGCACUGUUAUGCCUUUAGCACUGCUGGAGACUUGAAGCACAGGCUGAUAGGCAACAUGUCCAAGCUUAUAUUUGAAGUCAGCAGGACACCAGGGAGCUGAGAGCCAGGAUCGCACCCUGACAAGAAGAUAAUUUAUUUUUUCAGUGCAAGUCAAACUAAAGAGUAAAGGUAAGGGGAAUCAGAGUGAGGACAGAUUCUGUGAAUCUUGUAGAAGUGAUGAGCCUUUAGAGGCAGUUAAAAAUAAGUGUCCUCUCUGGGUUCAAGAAUUUCUGGUCUUGGCAGAUUAUCAGAUCCUUGUUUUCCUCGUUGUCUCAAGCAGCUGUUUGAAUCAUCAUGACCUUAGAAAGUCUUACAGAAAUAGGGAGAAAAGAAAUUCAGUCCUGUGGCCUCCUGAAUGACUUCCUACUCCUGUUUGAUUUAAUUUUGUAUAUACAAAAUUUCCCUCUUCUUGCUGGAAAGAUAGUCAGUUACCCUUUAAGAAGUCCACAAGCUCUCAAAACAGAAAUAGAACAUGUUAUUUCAGUCAAAGAUGGAAGACAUGAGCCUGGAGGAGCAGGACAAAAAUCUGAAGCAAGGUGAUGGAUCACUGGCAACCGACUAAGAGAUCUGAACAGAACAGUGAGAUGAUGUGAAAGAGUGUGUGGGCCAUCUAUUUGGCAGCAGUGUGCAGAUGGCCUACAGGAAGGUGACGCAGGUAUCAGGGAGGGAGAAGCAGGUUGCAGUAAUCAAAAGGAGAGAUGAAUGCACUGCAGAACUUGAAUGGUCCACUAAGGACAACCUCUCAGAAAUACCAAGAAAUUCAGUGUGCAACAACUACUCUUGUACAGAGGAUUUAAUUGAAAUAACCUCCGAGCCCAUGUUGAGAGGCAGUAUUAAUUGGCUCUGCCAAACUUAAAUGUUGAGCAGCAAUUUAUAUUUCAUGCACUAGCCCUCAUAUGGGGCAAGAACAAAAGAAAACAGGAUUUCCUGUGGCUAGGGAUGAAGAUGGUGUUUUUUUUCCUUCAGACCAGAUACUACAUAUUUCAGAGCUAUUUCCUUACAAUUGAAAAGACUUUAUUUGUGGCUGAGGUCAGACUGACAGACUCCAGGGAAACAGCACCGAACUUUCCCCAUAAAUUUUAUUCUCAGAAAAUGAGUGACUCCAUUCUGUAAUGGUGUGGCUAGUGCCUUUGUCAUUGUCUAUCUAUAAGAACAAUUUUAAAUAUCACAAUCGAUUGACUGGAUUUUAGUCAUUGCCCAUGGUUUCUGUUUUCACAAAAAGGUUCAGAUAAGAAAUAACUUUGCUCCAUCCUGAACCACUUCUUUGAGCUGGUCUGAAUUUAGGAAAGCCCUUUUCAUGACCAUGUGGAAGCCAACUUCUUGGGCUUUCCCAGCCUCAUACAGCCUGGGUUAAAUUCAUUGGCUUUUACUGGUCAGCAAUCUCAAUAAAAAUCCAUGCCUAGAUGCUCCUUGCUGUUUAAUGGGCUGAUUCAACAUCAGAGAGAGAGAGAGGUCUCGUAUUUUUCUCAAUUUUGUCCUUCUUGCUUCUGAUUCACUCAUUCAACUACAUGAGUGAUAGGAACUGUGGGACUCCACAUAUAUAGAUGCAAUCCCAGCAGACACUGAUAUUUGAAGCACUGUGUUCUACAGACCUGCUUUGAGCAAGGUUAGUCAACUCAGCGCUUAAAAAGCUGGCAGCCAUCUGGAGCCCAGCCUACGCCAGAGUUCAAAAUUGUUUCCUUCACUGUCGGUAGCAACAAUGGGGAGGGGGAUGGUGGGUUGAAAGAUUUCUUAGAAGCAGAUUUGGAGAAGAAUUCACUGCAGGCUGAAGUCACAAGUUAAGCCCAGAUCCUAGAGUUCAUGGACACUGUGCCCUGUACUACAACCUCUGCUUAGAGGCAUCAUUAAAUGCCUGAUAAUUAGCAAGUCAUUAGGUUUUGACUACACUUAAAGGUUAAAAGGAGAAUCUUUGGUGAUGGAUAUUUUGUAAUUUAUAUUUCUAUUGUGUUUUUAUGUAUUCUCUUUGUGCUAAGUGGUUCCGGUGCCCACCUCUUACCCAGAAGCUGAAAUCAGCUCAUGUUGAAACUCUUCUUUGAAAACAACCCAAAAAUUAUGUCACCUUUUCUUAAAUUGAGGCCACAUUUAAAAAAUUGUGGGGUAGGAAAAGUUUAACACCAGUGACUCUUUAAUUUUUCAUCAGAGCCUUGGAGAUGUGUGUUUGAUAGCAAGCUAGAGAGCGGUACUACAGCACUGCAACACAACACUGCAAAAUUGCAAGAUGAAUAUCUAAGCCUUGAUGAGAUAAUGUGGGACAUGUCAUUUCUUGGGGUCAAUAUUUCCUGUAAUGACUCCUAAAAUACAAUCUUGCUUGAUUAAGUGUUUUUUAACAACUUCUAUCAUGUCUAUCUUUCUAUCCACAGACUGGUCGAAACUGCCUUGCUGCAUUUGGAACAAAUCUUAAACAAUCCAUUUAAGUCUCAAGAUGAAGACAAAAUCUGUCAUCCAUAGUAUUCCCAAGGAAUGAAAAUAAUAUUCCUUGGACACUUUUAGUAACAAGUGAGGUGCUGUAGCAGUAUAACUAUCAAACCAGAAAUUAUUUGCACCGUAUUUUGAACUUCAGGAGUAGUAUUCUCACAUAGUGAGCUCUGUAAAGCACAUGCAGAAUAUUUUGUCUGCUUCUGACUUUUAAAGAAAGGCAAAUUCAGUAACAAUUCUCAUUCAGAGUGUUGAAUGUGUUUCAUUCAGUUCAUUCCAUGCUUGCAGGACAAAGUGAAGAUUAAAAAUAAAAAGAAAAAAAAAUCAAAAGAGAAAAUACUACCAUGCCGUGUAGUGGAAUGAGUAGAGCGGAGGAUUAUGAAGGACAAUCUGUAUGACAGCAGGCUUUCUAGGCCUGCCAGUGAACAGAGGGGGAAAUCACGAUUUGUCUGUAAUCCCUUUGAACUGCCUUUCCCGAUAUAGUCUGCAGACUCCCUGAAAGCUCUGGCAUUUGUGGAACCAGCUCUGUGUCCCAUCCACUUGGCAGCCUGUCAUAGUUCAGAGGACAUCUGAGGGCUCCUGAGCAUCCUGUCCCAGGAUUUCUUUUCUUCGGAAAUAGCUAGAGGGUGUAAGAGUUUCCCUGGGUGGCUGUGUGAAAGCUUGACCCUGCCCAUGGUUACCAGCAGAUUUUGGUAGCAAAACAUCCUGAGAGUGGUGUGCUUACAGCUCAUCAUAUUAGAGAAGAAAAUGUCCCUCUCAGCCCCAUGUGAGGGACCUGUAUUUUUAUUCAUCUUGCCUAGACCUGGGGUUUUUACAUGAAAUUGUGUGAAGCUGCAAUUAAAAACAGAAGCUAAAAGCUUGGCUUCCUUUUCAGAUUUUUACUCAGUAAUAGAGUAUUUUACCUGCAGAUAGCAGCAAACUCCUAUGCAUUGCAGAAUGAUGUCUUAGCCAUAGGGAAGUACCUAUUUAUUUUUUAAUAAAAUAAAAUAAAAUAAUAAAAGCAGUAUUUCUCCACCUAAUUGAUGAAUUAUGGCAUAUUUACAUUGUUAGCAUGUUUCGUUAGAUCAUGUGAUAUCCCACAGCCUGACACAGUGGCAUGCACUCACUGCAAUAGCUGCUUCUACUAUACUAUGUACAGGUGAAAAAUGAGCAGGAGGAAAGGGUGUGAGUGUUGUGACUCGCACUUUAACCAAGUUUAAGAACCUACAAAAAAUGUAGAUUCUAUUUUGUCAGGGAGCAUAAAUUGACAUCUUAAAUUGAUACAGAAAAAACCCACUUUUGAAAUGUGGACAACCUGUAGGUUUAAUCCCUUAGGUAUCAAUAGAGAAUAGUACCUACAACUCAAGAUGCUAUUGUACUAAGGGGCUACAGGGAGGGCUGAGUGCUAUGACAAAACACCUCCCCCGUAGUACAGACAUCUUUUGCUUUCCUUGUUGCAUUGUUGCUUUUAAUAACUUUUUUUUUUAAACAUACUUAAUUUCAUUUCUCUGACAGAAAUUACAUUGUUAAUAUAGUACAAAGUGGACUUGUUCAUGCAUAUUAUGCAUUUACUUUGAUCUGACUUACUUGAUACUGAGUUUUCCAAACCCUUGAAGAAAUUGAAUAUAAAAUGAGGGUGAAGGAACAGAGAGAAACUGUGUAGCUGUGCAGUAAGUUGGUCCACAAGGCCUGGGCUCUCAAAUAUGAUAUAUUUGUGGUACAGAUUUUUGCCUUUUGUUUUUUGACCUCUAACUGCUUAAUAACAAUCACUUUAACAGUCAUGGUGAAUAGUGUUUUAUGGCACAGUAUAGUAUUCUCAUUCUUAUUGACUGCCAAUAUUUAGAUUGCAGUCAGUGCCAGGAAAUAUAUGGCAGAUGCCAUACAAAGACAUUAUCUCACUCUCUGACAUGAGCUUGGAUUUGGAAGAACUGGGUGAUCACAGACAUACCUUUAUCUUCUCUGGUGGUGGUUCUUUUUAACAUCAGUGGCUUAGGGUAGAGUGAUAUGUCUCCAGAGCGCAGUUUUCAGGCGGACACCAAAGUCUGGGCAUCCAGUUUAGCCCCCAUACAUGCAAAGGGAAUUUUCGAAGCUGAAGGUAGCCAAGACUGACUAAAAUUGUGCUGCAAGUCUUGAGUGCUCAAGGACUCAGACAGGCAGCAAAUCAAGGAAGCUGCGCCUUGAAUGAAGUGCUCCACUUUUUGUACUGUUUCGUGCACUUCACAUGCGAGUCAGAAUUAAAAGAUGAGUUGGAAAAAAACCUUUAUGAGUUUACACAUUUUUACCAUUUUUUCAUCCUGUUUUUUUGAGCUUUGUGCAUUAAAAAAUCCUAUAUGUGAGAAAAGUGGCUGAAUAAAAGAUUUUUCAUGUUUGCAUUUCCUAUGUCCUGCUUUUUAUAAAUGUAAGAGCUUGCCACUGCAUUAAGAAAUUAUCUUGGGGCACAGAUCUUCCGUUGGUAAAUUGUCAUAGCUCCAGUGAAGUCAGUGGGGCUGAGGACCUGCCUGACUUUGCAAUCAAGCAAUCAAGUAAGCAUUUCCUGUUGUGGAUAAUCUAUUCAGUAAAUAUUAAAGGUUUCACCUUACCAGAAAUAGUUUCAUGCUUUUUGAAUUUUUGUACUUAAUACUAUAUAGCUAAUCAAUAAAUUAUUUGAUCAGCUGCCCACCCACACAGACAUGUCCUUAAUGCUUUCUGUAAUUUUGUAACAACCCCUUGGCACCAGAUGUGGAAGUUCUGGGAACCAGCUUAGCUGAAAGGACUGAAAAUGCUGCCCUAAUGAUAAAUGCACUGCUUCUAAGUGAAACGAACUUGCACCAGUGCACAUUGUCAGGUCACACUUUUGAAAUCUAGCGUUGACAAAGGUGCCUCUUUGGCAAAUUUUCUAAUUUCAUGAACUGUUACUAUUUGAAGCCUUCUUUUCAGAGCGGCUGGUCUUCGUGUCCAGGAAUCCUUAUUUAAAAAGUAGCUUUUUGUUUGUUUGUUUUUUAUUACAUUCUUUCCUGGUCAGCAGAUAGUUUGGACUUGUAUCCAGAUCAUGGCUAGAAGAGAUGGUCUCAACCCAUAUUGCUUUGUUAUGUUGUUGAAAGAUUGAGUCCCCUGACAGGAUCAUUUUCACUUUUUCUAUCUGCUUCCCUUAUUUUUACCUCAAAUAACUUCUUACAUGUAUUUUUUAACAUCAUGUUCCCUUCCAUGUCUAAAAAUGAGAAGCUUAAUAUAAACCUCUCUUAUACUUUCCAUCAGUCUUUUGCAGGUUUUUAAGAAUCUGUCUGUCCUUCACUAUCAUUUUCCUGAAGACCAGAUCCUACUGUGAAAAGCUGUUGUUUUCAUUUAUUCAUUCAUGAAAAAUCCCAAAGUUCCCACAAAAACACCCCAAAACAGAACAAAAACUGCAAGCAAUCAUGAAAAAAAAAUUGCUGUCACCCCAGACUUCUGCAAAUAAAUGUACCUCUGAGUUUGAUAUAUUUUUCCAAAUACAUUUUGUCUCUUUUUGGAUGUGUCGUACAGAACUUAACUGGCCUAUUUAUUUUGUUUCUUCAUUUAUGCUUCUGCAAGCUAUUUAAGACUGGUUUCUUUUGGCAUUUUUUUUUUUUUUUUUUCAUUUUUCAGAGCUCUGCACAGCUUCCUUCCAAUCCAUACCUACUCCUUUCCCUGUCUCAUACAGCUCUGCUAAGCUGUCCUGGUAGUCACUCACACUAUGAGCAAGCAAAUAGUUGACACAAUGUCUCCUCUUGCUGUGAGAGUCCAACAACUUCAUUGUUGGAUCAAGCUUAUUGCCUGGUCCACCACUGAGUCUAAACCGUAAACAGCUGUGUAUCUUUGUAGUCAUUAACAGACUCCUCUCGAGUGGUGCAUAAGCUUGAAUUCACCAGGGAAAUAGACUUGGCAACGUGCCUAAUGGUGAUACUAGCAAGUUUUAGAAUAGGGAUCUGAAAAUGGGCCAGCAACCCUGUUAAGCUUAACUUCAUUAUUUAUUUUCCUUCUUAAUGCUGUGUAUUUCCUGGUUCAGUGAGUGCUGCUGGAAAUCCAAAGAAUUCCAGGUUGUACCUAUCACAAGCUACAAUCUGCAGGGAGGCUGUAAGAGGGGUGCUAGUCACAGUGGCCCUACCUGGGCAAAGGCUUUUCCUCCUGUGCCAAUGUCUGUGGGACGCAGGGGCAUGAAUCCCUUUUUACAGUGAUUCUCCUGUUGUCAGUAUUGAACUAAAGAAUGGUAACUGAUUUGAUUUUACACUGUUAGCAGAGAUAAGGUGGAAAUGGCUUUUGCUUCAUGUGAGAAGUUGAGCUGUCAGUAGCAUGAACUCCAGACCACUUGAAACUAUCACAGGAAAGGGGGAUGCGAUGAACAGAUGGGUGGUGGUGUAAGAGGUGACUCAGUAAUCUGGAAUCACCAAUGUGACCUGGAUGAGGCUUUGCAGAGACAAUGACACAGAUCCUGACUGCUGACCUGUUUCUUAGCCUAGAUUUUCUGGCUCUCUUUUAUACCUGAAAUACCACUCUUGAACAGAGAAUGCUCACAGAACAUGUCAAAGUUGAUGAAUUGGCAUUUCUUGCCACCAAAACUUUUCGUCAGAAAAUUCCCAACAAGCCUGAGAGUCAGUGGGUAUGAAUCCAAUGCUGGAUUCCUUAAAGAGGGUAUCUUGGAUUUAAAUUGCUGAAAUUUAGAGAGGAAAUUUUAUCCAUUAGAUGACUCAAUCUAUAACCUUACCCUGCAGGAUUAAUGGUCACAAUGGAUUUCUUUUUUGGCUACCUCUGUGUUAAAUUCCCUGCUGCAGGGAUAAGUAUGCCCACUUUCACUGCUGAACAGUGGCAUUCUCAUCAGAAAGGAGUUUACAUCCAUGCUCAGAGAAAUAUAAUUCAAUUAUUUAUUAAAAAAGAAAAACCAAACCAAACCAAAACAACAGAAAAAAAAACGCGAACAAACCAAAGCAACACAAACUCUUAUCUCCAUUUUCUUGUUUUUAAUUCUUCUGGCGUCUGAACUUUGGUAUAUAAUGACAAAAAGACAUGAAGAUAUUACAAGACACUGUUGUUUAAAAUUUCUGGGAAUACCUAUAAACACCAUUUCGCAAGGUCAGUUUAUCAAAACCAGAGAGAUAAUGAUGUGGUAGUUGCAAUAUUGUCUAAUGACAUGCGGAUGUUAUCGGGUAGCUGUUUUCUCCAUUAAUAUAUACUACUGUCUCCUCAGCUACCUAUAUGUUGAAGUCCAACACUCCUUGUAUCUAUCUUAAAUGGUCAAUGUUUAUUUAAAGGGCUAAAGACUGUUUCAAUAAAAUGCACUGAAACUGAAGGACCUUCCCUAAGCUCAUAAGGGUACAGUGCAAUGCUGUUACACAUUUUAGGUAAUAUUGACCUUCUGAGGUUUUAUUUUUUUGAAUAUAGUUGACAAUUCAGGCAAGGUUUGUGCACUCUUUACAAGGACUAUCAAAUAGAUAAGGAAAGUUAAAAGUAUAUCUAUCAUUUGCAUGUUUUCCAGUUUUAGAGCUACUCCAAGCAGACUAAUAUUAAGUAUUUAAUGUAUUUUAUUUUUUAUUUCUGGAAGCAAAGUUAUAGAAUCAUAGAAUAGUGGAAUAAUUUCAGUUGGAAGAGACCUUCAGGAUCAUCAAGUCCAACUAUAACCUAACUCUAGCACUAAACCGUGUCCCUAAGGACCUUUCUAAAUGCCUUUUAAACACCUCCAGGGAUGGUGACUCCACCACUUCCCUGGGCAACCUGUUCCAAUGCCUGACAACCCUUUCCAUGAAGAAUUUUUUCCUAAUAUCCAAUGUAAACCUCCCCUGGCACAACUUGAGGCCAUUUCCCCUCGUCCUAUCACUUGCUGCUUGGGAGAAGAGACCAACACCCUCAUACUACAACCUCCUUUUGGGUAGUUGUGGAGAGCAAUAAGGUCUCUCCUCAGCCUCCUUUUCUACAGGCUAAACAGACCCAGUUCCCUCAGCCGCUCCUCACCAGACUUGUGCUCCAGGCCCCUCACCAGCUUUGUCACCUCCUCUGCACUCUCUCUAGUACUUCAGUGUCAUUCUUAUGAUGAGGGGCCUAAAACUGAACACAGUAUUCAAGGUGCAGCCUCACCAGCAUGGAGUAAAGUGGCACAAUCACUUCUGUAGUCCUGCUGGACACACUAUUCUUGAUACAAGCAUGAUCUUCAAGUGUGUUGCUUAUCAGGUGAAGAAAGUUUAGAGGCAGCUUGGGAUGAUGCAUUUUGGACUUGAGUGAGGCUCAGUUAGACUGUCUAAGGAACAUAAGAUUUGUUCCUGGGUCCCUGAUUUGCUUAAACCUACUGUAGUUGCAUUCUAGGGUCAGGAGGGUCUGCUUUGAGUCAUCCUUUUCCAAGGAAGCAUCUAUCUUUCCCUGUUCUUCCCUUCUGUUCUUUGUGAAAGUCCUUUAUUUUUCAGGCUUUUGAAUCUUUGCUUUCCCAAAGCAAGAAGUCUCAGGGGCCUGUGCUGGUGCAUUUCCAAAGCAGAUGCUUGUCAAGUGAGGGAUGACUCUUUGCUUCUCUCAGCUACUGAAGAAGAAAGAGGUGAAGGUCCUCAAGAGGAGUUUUAAUUUUGUGUGUUGAGCAGUGACCCAUCCUGCAGGGUCUAGAGUCCAAACACAAUGCAUAGGAAGAGAUCAUGGAGAUUGUUAGCAAGCAACUAGUAGACCUUUUCUGCCUAAAACUGGGCAGCAGCAGUUUGAUUUGUUCCAGCUGUGGCAAAAGCACCCAGUGAUUUCAAUGGUAUAGUGAUCAACCCUUUGAGGUGGUUAUUUCAAACAUAAUGCUUGUGGCACUGUGUUAGUAUUGGAUUUUUUUAUUGUGGUAAUAUCUGGAGCUCUGUGUAAGGAACACAGAGACAUUGUCAGAACUUCAGAAGUCUGAGACACUGGCCUUUCAUUUUCUUGCUCAGGGAAAGUUUUGAGGGUGAAUUUCUGGCUCACUUGCUCUUCAACAUCAAGCACCUCUGUAUUUCUCCAAAGUAAAAUGGGGACAGAGCUGCUUGCACAGGGAAAUAAAAUAGUUUUCUCUGCAUUUUUUUUCUUGGGAGUAUGCAAAAAUCCCAUGUGCAUUUCUUUAUGAAUUGGACCCUUCUGUUUUAUAGCUGGUAGUUUUCAUGCUUAUUACAAUGCCAUAUUAUGGCCUGAGACACUUUUUAUGUCCCUAUAACAUAGCACCCUAGAGAAAGAUGCUUCACUAAGCAAGAACCAGUAAACUUGCUACAGAAUCAGCGGAAUACUUUUCACAAAAGUGCAUAAACUUCUGUUCUUAAACAUUGUCAUCCUUCACCUUAACAAGCACAGAGAAAGGUUCCACUGGUUUCUAUGCCUUGUUAGGUCUAUCAUCUUUUUAAUUAAUAGUGUUUUUACGAAGCCGUCUGAACUGUGUCAUUUCCAUUAUCAGAAAACCAUUGCCAUUAAUGAAUAAUUUUCAUUUCUGAUCCUUGAUAUCAUGCUAGUUGAUCUCCUGUUUCCAUGCCGCCAAAUGAUAGCAUCGUUUUCUGCCCACGAUCAAAUUUAAUUUGGACUCUGAUUAUAUUAUGCUGUUGCGACUGAAGUGUCAAUUUUUGUCAGGCAAUUAGGAGCUAUAACCUGUGAAGUUAAGUUUGAUAGGCAUUGUAAUUGGAUUGUUACAGUAAUAGCUUGGAACAUUCCCUUUUUUCUUGCUUCUUUGAUUCUUGAUGCAUACUUUAGUUGUGAGAACAAAGGCAUUUUGUUAUUAUGCAACCAGAGGAUGUUGAAGACAACAAGAUGGAGUUUAGGUUUUUCCACUUUCCCCAGAUGGACUUAAUUUGAGUUUACUUUUGACCACAAAUUAUGCCAGGAUUUUAAAAGAAUUUUGGGGGGGGGUUGGGAGUAGUUAGUUGAGGAAAUCUUAUAAAGAGAGCUGUGGAAUCAGAGCUGCUAGGAUUGUGAUGUGUUCAGGUCACACUGUGGCCCAAAUUUUCUGUUAGUGUAGAUCAGUGCAGUUGUAUUCGAUGAAUAAAUGGAGCAGUUGGCCCCAUGGAAAAUAAUAAGAACAGAACAGCUACCAUGUAAUGGAGAAUUCAUAUUUUAUAUUUUUAAUUGGAUCCUUGCUGUCAGAAAUGAAGUUAUCGGCUUUUCCCUUUUUUUUUUUUUUUUUUUUUUUUUUUUUGUCUCUGCAGACACAAUAGUCCACAGGCCUAGCUGUUAGUUGAAAGACUUUUGUCCCCAAUGUCUUUAGGGUGUGCUCAACCCCUCCCCUAGCUUCCUCUCCUGAUUAUCUCUGAUCAAAGGUGCAAUGAAGAGACCCUUUAAAAAAGACAAUGGAGAAAGGAUAGUUUCCUUCCCUACCAUGUAGUGUCAGCCCUGCCUUACAUCCUUGGAGAUAUACUUCUUUGUUUGGACAAUUUUGUGAUAGCCAGUCAUUUCGUGGUGUGGCUGGCUGGUUCUGCUCCUUCCUACUUCGGGCAUGUGUUCACUUUUCUCUUCUGGUAUUCUCAGUCUGUAGUCAGUGCUUGGUCUAGGAGCAAUAUGGUGAGCUUGAAGCAUUCUUCAUUAACAACCUGUACUGUGUUGAUCCUGGCUGGACACCAGGUGCUCACCAAAGCCUCUCUAUCACUUCCUCUCCUCAAAUGGGUAAUGGAGAGAAACUACAACAUCAGGGUCUAGGAUCAAGAUAAGGACAGGGAGGGAUCAUUCACCAAUUACUGUCACAGGCAAACAGACUUGACUUGGGGAAAAAUUAAUUUAGUUUAUUGCCACUUGAAUAAAGGUAGGGUAAUGAGAAAAUAAACCCAAAUCUUAAAACACCUUCCCCCCACCCCUUCCUUUUUCCCAGACCCAACUUCACUCCCAAAUUCUCUACCUCCUCCUCCCCCAGUGGUGAAGGGGAAGUGGAAUGGUGGUUGUGGUCAGCUGACCACACAUUGUCUCUGCUGCUCCUUCCUCCUCAGGGAGAGGACUCCUCAAACUCUUCCCCUGCUCCAGGAUGGAGUCCAUCCCACAGGACAUAGUUCUCCAUGAACUUCUCCAGUAUGGGUCCUUCCCACAGUUGCAGUUCUUCAUGAACUGCUCCAGCAUGGGUCCCCUACAGGGCCACAGGUCCUUCCAGGCUCCUGCUCCAGCAUUGGCUUCCCAUGGGGGUCACAGCCUCCUUCAGGUAUCCAUCUGCCUCAGCGUGAGGUCCUCCCUGGGCUGCAGGGGAAUCUCUGCUCUGGCACACGAAGCACCUCCUUCCCCUCCUUCUUCACUGACCUUGGUGUCUGCAGAGUUGUUUCUCUCAAUCCUCUCUCUGGCUGCAGUUGCACAGUGUUUUCUCCCUGAUUCUUAAACAUGUUAUCCCAAAGGCUUUACCACCGUUGCUGAUGGGCUUGACCUUGGCCAGCAGCUGGUCCAUCUUGGAGCCAUCUGGCAUUGGCUCUGUCAGAUAUGGGGGAUACUUCUAGCAGCUUCUCAGACUAGCCACCCCUCUAGUCCCCACCCACCACUUCCAAAAUCUUUCCUCAUUGUAAAAUAUUUCUUCCUCAUGUCUAGCCUGAAUCUCCCCUUCUUUAGUUUAAAACCAUUACCCCUUGUCCUGUUGUAACAGGCCCUGUUAAAAAGUCUGUCCCCAUCUUUUGUAUAGGUUCCUUUUAAGUACUGAAAGGUUCCAAUAAGGUCUCCCUGGAGCCUUCUCUUUUCCAGGCUGAAUGACACAAACUCUCUCAGCCUGUCCUCAUAGCAGAGUUGUUCCAGCCUUCUGAUCAUUUUUGUGGCCUCCUCUGGACCGUCUCCAACAGGUCCAUGUCUUUCCUGUACUGAGGGCUCCAGAGCUGGAUGCAGGACUCCAGGUGGGGUCUCACCAGAGCAGAGUAGAGGAGCAGGAUCACCUCCCUUGAUCUGUUGGCCACCCUUCUUUUGAUGUAGCCCAGGGUACAAAUGUCCUUCUGGGCUGCAGGUGCACAUAGCUGGUUCAUGUCCAAUCUUUCAUCCAUCAGUACCCUCAAGUCCUUCUUGGGAGGGAUGCUCUCAAUCCCUUAACCCUCCAGUUUGUAUUGAUACUGGUUGUUGCCCCGGAUUGAGUAUUCACAAUCCAUUGCUUCAAUUGUGUGCUCCCUCAGCAACUCUGUUCUAUCUUGUGAUUCUACUUCUCUGUGGUGUAAACUCACUAAGUUCAUUUAGUGUUCAUACUCACACAGUCCUUUGCAAAAUUUCACCAUGUCCAGUUCCGUUUCCUCAGUUUCCACAGGGCUCAGGUGGACCAUGUGUUCUUGCAGCAGCCCUCUCCUCUGGGCCCACUUGGGACACCAGGAUACAGACGCAGCAGGAAACUCUGGAAAGCAGCAGUUAUCACAUACUGCAUUCUCCACUGGGGCCCUACUAGUGAGAUGACUUCAUUUUGUUCAUGCUUUGUAGUCAUGCUCACAUUUGCAUAGCUGCUAAUAUUUGGACUGAUUAUUUUUUUUCAUGAUGGUGGCUAAGCUUCCUGACAUUGUCCCCUUUGGUCUCAUGGUGUUCACAACUAAUACUGGGAACCUGAAAGGAUGCAUCAGGGCUGUUACUGAGGGAGUAGAUUGCUGAUAUGACAGAAACAGCUGCAUAUGAAAAGGUGAUAUAUGGAAUGGAAGGUAAGUUAGAUGAAUUUGAAGGUAUUAGUAAUCUAUUCUUCAGCUGCAUCAGAAGAGAUGUCCUGAAAUAUGAUAGAAGAUAGUAGAGAGAGGUUGAAGGGUGAAUGAAAGCUUUUGUUUCAAAAGGUAAUAAUAAUAACUUAUCUCCCUGCUUUUUUAUUGCUGUACUUUCCUUUUUCCUUUGUUUUUCUUCCUCCCUGGGAGAUAAGGAUGGGAUGUAGUUAUACCUGAAAAAGGAGUGAAAGUCAUGUACAUUUUUCUGUACAUAUGUUCUGUUUGCAAAAAGACAGACUUAGAAUCUGAUGAAAACAGCAAUAGGAAGACAAAUAGGCAUGUAAAAAUCCAUUCCAGGCAGUAGAUGUAUGCAGCUUUCUGGAAUCUAACGAUGACAACAGUGUGUAUUAAAUUUCUGCUUUUCAGUUUAUCUGAUGCAGGUGUAGUAAUUACCAGAGACCAAUGUCAUUAAUUGUAAUGUUCUGUAGGAGUAAUCAAUGAACUCUGUUUCCCAAAAACAGUUUCACCUUUGCACUAUUAGUACUAUAAUGAAGAGGGUGCAGUAUAUACUUACAUAAAAACUUAGAAUCUAUUAGCACCUGUGCUGAACAGUAAAGCUGCUGAUACUUUGCAUGCAAAUUGUAGUCAUCAUCUGAGAAGAAGCAGAGUUCAUAGGUUCAAUAUUCUCUCACUUUCAGUCUCCUAUGUCAGCUAUGUCUUAACCAGCUGGGGGCAGAAUUACAUUCUGGAAAUUAGUGAGAAAAAAGGUUAUAAUUGAAAAUCUACUAUUUCUGCAUCUAGCCUCACCAUUUAUAUGUUAUAAGACAACAUGAAAAAUGCUAGCAAGUAUAAAUGAUGUCUGAUUUCACAUUUUAUUUUUAAAGUGUCAGUGCUCAAGUAAGUUUAUAUUUGACAGGUGAUUUAAAUACUUCAGUACAUUUCUAUAGCCAUAAGAAAAAAGUCUUUAUCAGGAUAAAAAGUUGACAAAACUAUUUAUUUUUGUACUAAUGCAAGAAAUAUUACUCCUCUUUUUGGCAUGCAGAUAUAUGAGGCACUAUAUUAAUCUUCAUCAUUUUUCUAAAUAUUUCAUUGUUUGAGGAUAUUUCAAUGACUGCUGUUUUAUGUUGUUUUUACUAUAUUUAUCUUCUGUACUGAUUCUUGAAUACUAUUCUCUGAGUACAUACCUGGUUAUGGCUGGUACAAUCUGACUGUGAUGCUGAGAUAGACAUAGCCACAUUUCUGUAAAGCUAAUGAAUUUACCUUUAGCAAAAAAAAUAUAAAUAUAUAUAUAUAUUUAUGUAUAUAUAUAUAUAUAUUAUUUUCCCCUCAUACCAAAAUAAUGCUUCUAGUGCCCACAGCAAAUACAUGGCUUCAGCUAUCUCACAGGCUCCAUGACCUUUCCCCUCACUUCUAUCCCAAAAGUAGUUGUGAAUGUCUGUAUGUUUAAUUUUUUAACAUCACAAAACUGUUCUUUUUGUAAUCCUGUAUGAAAUAAUAUUAAGAUGGGCCUGUUGUGAAGACUUUGACACAGAAAGGAGGUGUGGAAAAAUUACAACUGUAGACCAGUAAAAUAUAAUAGCGUGCUGAGUUAAUGAAACAGAACAGAGAAAAGCACACAGGGGAAAAAAAAAGAAAAAACAAAAACCAAAAAAUCAUAGCACUUCUAUGGACAAAAAAUAUUCUGUAUCCCUGACUCACUGUGGCAGUAGGUCUGUGAUAGUUUCCCUAUAGGAUGAUAGCUUGAGUGUUUCACAGGUUAGAUCAGUUUAAGCCCAGUUGUGUGAACUAACCAAGUUAAAAAGAUGAACAAAACUCAUCCUCAAGAGCAUAACAACAUAUAAAGAUAAUUAAAUAAGACAGUUAGUACAAUAAUGAAACUAGAUUAAAAUUCUGACUAGAUUAAGAUGCAGCUUCUUUCAGAUUCUUUAUCUAUGAUUAUGGACAAUCUCACCUUUUGCUAUAGACCAGUAAAUAUAAGAAUGAUACAGAGAAUUUGAAUUGUCUUCAAACUUUCUCACAAUCCAGGAAUUUUAAAAUAUUUCUGAAAAUUCAAGAAUUUUUGUUUGGGCUUAUAUUUAGUUUAAAGUGUCUCUCUUACACAUCUAUAAGAAGCAUAAACCGGAGAAAGCUUCAGAGAUACAACCAUUGGUUGUCUCAAAUGUUUUUCUUUCAUUGAAAUUUUCAAAUCAGAGAUAUACAACAGCACUAUGGCUGAACCACAGGAUUUUUUAACGUCAGAGUAGGCUUUAUUCUAUGAGGAAGGUUACCCAGUCAAGAUGUUACUUUAGGGAAUAAACAAAGGAUUAUUGCUCUGGGCUUCGAUUUUCAAAAUUGCUCUCAACAUUGACCUGACUCUGUCUCAGUGUAUGCUGAAGUAGACGAUCAUGGGCACUUCUAGAUAGUUCAUUAUCCACCAGCUAUUAUCACUGAAUUCAGCUAAAACAGAAGUCAAAACAAUAUAGGGUGUAUUAGUAAUCAAAUUAAUGGAAAAUCACAGAAAUCAUUAAUCUUUAUUACAGUUGUGUCCCUGUGCUUCCUAAAGGCCUGUGUUUUGAGCCUGGAGCAAAGACAGAGCUUACUUGCAGUGAUCUGAAGCAUGAUCUGUUAGGCCCAGAAAUUGUCCUUUUAUUUCUCCAUGCAAGGAAAUAGAGCCCAUGACACCUAAAGCAGCCAACCUGUUCUGCAGCUCAGGCAUUGCAAACAGUAAUCUCACAUCAAGUUUUCACUUUUUCUGUAACUUUCCCUGUUUUCCUUUAGAGGAAACUAGGGCAGUGAUUUAGGUCUUUCUCUCUUAUCUCAUCAGCUGUCUUCGUGAAACCAGUAGGAAUAUAAUUUUGGAGAUUUUUAGCCCUCAAGUUCAAAUUGGCUAAUGGUUCAGUCUUUUGUUGAAGGGAAAGUAAAGAGGAGAGAAAAGAAAGAUGGAGAGUCAGACAAAACAGUUAUAUAAAGCUUAUUUCCAUAGGAAGCCAAGAUAAACUGUCUUUAUCUGUAGGAAUUGUAAGUCCUAGUUAUGUAACUCUUCAGCUUAUUUGAAGAGGUGAUAAACUGUUCCUAAUUAAGCAUUCAGCUACAGUCCCAUUACAAGACAUUUUUCCCCUCUCCAGCAACUCAAUAAUAAAUUUUAAAAAAUGUUAAAACCUCUACCAACAACCAUGUAAAUUUCCCUGUGCAUUCACAUUUUUAGGGUUAAGACUUACUGACAACCAGGGUACUUUAUGAAAAUUGCUAUUAAAUUGAGGAAGUACUUUUUAAGAUUAAAAGACUUAAAAUACCUUAUUUUUAAAAUAUUUGCAAUGUGUAUUGUUUCUUUGUAUCAAUCUCUCAGUCCAACAAAUCACAUAAUACCACAGAGUUUGAAACAUAAGUAGAUUUCAAUACUGACUGUGUAAAAGUCAGUGUUAGGGGCAGAAACAGUAAAGUAGUUUGAAAAAAUCAACUGAUUUCUCUACCUGCGAAGAUGGCAAGGAAGAUAAAAAAGCCCCAUAAUACAAAACACUUUAACCACCAAGCUCUGAAUUGCACCAGGAUGUUCCUGAAGUCUCUUCUUAAAGCUCCCACUUCUCUUGAAAAUUCCCUGCAGGUAAUCAUUUUCCGGGCAGAAUCCAGAGGAAUUAGAGGGCAGCAAUUUCCUGACGAGGUGGCAGAGCUGGAGAGGGAACCCAGAUCUUUGUGUCCUUCUCACUUGGCUGCUUUUGUUGGCAGCAGCUGAGGAGGCUGAACUACCAGUGUGAUUCUCUGCAGACUGCAUGCACUGCAAUAGCCAAAUCUCAUGAAUGUUCUUACUUUGCCGUGUGUCGCUGUGCCUUGUAAAAGCUGUGGUGAGUGGGUAUCUUGUUAAUACUAAGGGAUCCUGGGUUUUGUUUUGCAGCAGUCAUCAGCUGUGACUUCCAUCUAGAUAAGAUGCUGAUUUUCAUGUGGUGCUGUGCUGCCAUGAUUUAUUAACUUUCACACAGUCUUGCCUUAGUAAUGGGAAACUUAAGCCCUUAUGUGUUCUCACAUGGUAUUUUCUUCUGUUCACAUUCACAGAAUCACACAGAACACAGAAUCACUGAAUGUUAGGGAUUGGAAGGGACCUCAAAAGAUCAUCCAGUCCAAUCCCCCGGCUGGAGCAGGAACACCUAGAUGAGGUUACACAGGAAUGUGUCCAGGCGGGUUUUGAAUGUCUGCAACGAAGGACAUUAUGCCUUUUGUACUAUUUCAAUUUAAUUUGCCUUGACUUAUAUUAAGGUUUUCUUCCACAAGCCCUUUCCUACAGACCAAACCAAUGAAUGCAGUGUGAGGAAGGCUAGACAUCAUCCUUUCACUCAGAGAAAUAGAUCACAGAAAAGGAAGCCUUUAAAAUGCUGCUAUCCAUUUCUUUACCUGAUUAGUAUAUGAAGAACAUAGGACAAAAGUAAGGGCUGAAGAGUUAAUCUCUUACAUUAAUCUCCCCCAUUACAUUAUAUUAAGUAAUCUCUUCCUCAAAGGACUAUAAAAUGCUGCACUACUAGUAAAAUAAAUUUCAUAUCAGGAUUUUAUAAUUAUUGAAGUAAUUGAAUACUUUUCUUUAUUUAGCUCCAUGAUGAAAUUGCAUUCCAAAUACUAUGGAGGCACCCGCUACAAGACUUUCUCAAACUGGUGUGAUUGGUGGCUCUCUUUACAGACAAAACAUUAAACAAAAAGUUUCCUCUGUUUUCCCUUAUCAUGCACAAUUAUGAGUUUUGACUUCAAAUACUUAUACUUGUAAUCACAUCAUUCUGAAAAGAUAUCCUAAAUAUAUAUGUUUUGCAGCUUGACUGGGACUUCAAGCAAAUUCUCUUGUCUGAGGUGCUUGGUAAAGUAAAACUGAACUAGUGAGAGUACAAUAAAGCAAGUUACACUGUUUAGAUACAAUAACCAAAAAUAAAGUCAAUUUAAUCUUCCAAAGUAGGACAGCUUUUCAGUGUAUUCGUCACUAUGGAGAUUUAACAGUUGAUUCCAACUUGCAUUUUAAUAGCAAACUUACAUAAUUGUGAGUCCUGGUGUGGUACUGCUGAGUGUAUUCAGACUGGAAUUACUGGUUAGAUCCUGCUUAGCCUUGUAGUUAAAACAUGCUAAUAGUUUACACAUGUGCAUGACAGUUGCUAAUAACCAUCUUUAUAAUCACCUUCGGAUUUCUCUUUUCUUCCUCACUCAACACUACCUAAAAGAGAAAAUCAGUAUUAGUGGCCAUGUCUGGGGAUUAAAAAUGAAGAUUCUCUUUUUUCUUAACUAGUUUUUGCCAAUGAGUAUGAGCAGCUGUUUUUGCAGCAUGUAAUUUAAGUAGAUACUUUUUAUUUAUAUGUUUACCUGUUUGUUUGUUUACCUAUUUAUUUGUUGGUAGACGAUAUAUUUUCCAAUAUGUGUUUAAAGAUGUUCACAAGGGAAAAAAAUAUCUCAGGAGUAUUUAAGAGAUUGUUUAGUGCUCAAAACUUGGGAAGUAUUUAGGAGAUUUUUGGUUUUGACUGAAAAAUUACUUUGUUUUAGAAGUAUUUUUGUACAUGUCCUCUUCAUUCCUAUGUGCUUGCUUUGUAACCAAUUUUAGGCACUACAUAACUUGAGGCAAAUGGUUGGCUUUAAAUUGUCUGUGCCUUAGUUUCUCCAGUUGUGGAAUGGUUGGGAAAAAUCAUCUGCUACGCAGAGUGUUGGAAUGCUCACUUAAGUGUUUAUAAAGUACCUUAAGGCUUUUGCAUGAGAUGCAUUGUGGAUGUGUAAUGUAACAUUAUUAUUAAUGUAUAUUGCAAAUUAUUUUUUAUCUCUGUCAAUUUUCCAUUACUUUAUAAAAUUAGUCUAAUCUAAAAUAUUGGUCAAAUAGACAGAAUUGCUGCAAUUCCUUUGUAAAAGUUCAAUGAUGGAGUCAUGUUGACUUUUAUCUUCAACAAUCUUCCCUUAUAGUCUCUCAGAGAAACCGAAUUUGAGCUGUGCUUCUAAUUGUUGGCUUCAGGCUGAAACUUGUGAUCACUUUAUUUCUGCUGCUUUAUGUUAAACUUGCAGAAUGAAAAAGCUUGAUAACAUUUCAUACUAAUUCUUUAUUUUGGGGAAUAUGAAAGAUGAAUUUGACCUUCUGAAAUUUCAGUCUACACUUUGGUAACAACGAGCAUCCUCAUUCUUGUUUUCAUUCAUAUUAAUACUACAUCUAUCUCUUUUGCCCUGUAUAAAGCUAUUAAUAUUGUUCUAUUAACCUCUUUCUAAGUACUAAUGACCUUUCCCCUGAAAAUGCAAUUAUUGGACUUUUUUCCCAUAAUAAAUCUCAUUUAUUAGAAAGUUUGGCCUUGUGCACUUUGUUCUCUGCCAUUUCCUUAAAAAACUCAUGCUUUAUUUUCAAAUAAGUACAUUAUUUUUAUUCAGAAAAAUAUUCUAUAAUGCAUGCACUUGGCCAUAAUUUGGGAGGAGGUGAUGGCUGCUUGGUUCAACUAUGUCUCUGUCUUUAGAAAGAAAAGGGCUACAGGGACUGUGCUUUACAUUCCUUCAUUGCUUGACUGUCAUCUGGCUGCUUGCAGCUGUACUGUCUUCUAUUUUGCCAAUAAUUGUCAGCCAGGUCAGUUUGGCUCUUGCUAAUAUCCAGUUCAAAUGGUCUCUGCUUGGUUAGUCAGAACUCCUAUUCCCUUUCUGCACUGAGUGGUGAUUUUUGAGAUGUUGCCUGAGAAACUUUAUUUUGCCUGUAAAGUGGAAGAGGAAGUGCUGCUAGAUACCUCCUGCUGUGUGUGGCAAUGCAAUGCAAUGAAGCAGUGGCAGUAGCAGAAGGGUUUUUCCAGUAAAACAAUUCUAAAAAGCUGUGUAGAUGAGAAGCAUAAUUGUCCUGGUUCUCCUCCACUCCCCACCCUCCUUUUGUUGGACAGGUUUCCAGUUGCUUGAGGUCAGAGAGAGAAGGAAAGUUUUGGCAACUCCUUUUUCACGGCCUUUUUCUUUCCUAAUUGUAAAGAAUCCUUGCAGAAGAAAUGUGAAAAUCCAUAUAGGUUUCCAUUUUUAUCUAGAUAGGAAAAACAUCUAUAACCACAUGUUAGGGAAGAAUAGGUUUGUGGUUAUAGCUCCAGGCUGGAAAAAGGAAGAAGUGGAUUUUUUUUUUUUUUAAUUUAAUUUAAUUUAAUUUAUUUUAUUUUUUUUUUAUUUUAUUUUUAAUUGUAAGCAGGAAAAAAAAUUAAAUGGGUCUAUCAAAUUAGAAUACAAAUUUCUGAAAUCAUGCACUGAAAUAAAGGCAGAUGUUACAGACUGUGCAUUACAAAUUAGAAAGUGAGGCUCAGUUUUUUGAGGAUUACUUAAGAAUGACAGAAAAUGGAUGUCAAAUUUGUAACAUAGUCAGAGAGAAUGUCCUUCCAUGGUGUUGGUUGAUGAGAAGCUCAACAUGACCCAACAGUGUGCUCUUGCAGCCCAGAAAACCAACCGUAUCCUGGGCUGCAUCAACAGAAGUAUGGUCAGCAGGUCAAGAGAGGUGAUUCUGCCACAAACCAUUCUAUGAUUCUCCAACCCAAACCAUUCUAUGACUCUGCAGUUCUGUUCUUGCCACCUAUCUCCCAGAUUGAUCAGAUAUGCUACCAAGAAGGUUAACACUGAAGAUUUCAAGUAACAGAAAAAUGACUUUGUACCACGUAAGUAGGUAGACAUGAGCCAUACCAUAUGCAAAAUUUUAGGAUUAAUUUUUUUUUUUUAAACUUUCUUUUUGUAACGUUUUCUCGAACUGCACUCUUUAGAAAAGCACAUCUUUACAUUUCCUGGCUCUGUGACUCAUCAAAAAUGAGCUGUGUUAGUCACAUCAAAAGAUGUGUUUCACAGAAUAAGACAGUAAAAGCAGCACACUGAGUCAUCAUCAUAGGGAGAGUGGGUGCCAAGCCACUAUCAGACAACAUAGGGAACAGUAAGCAUGUUAAAUGGCUGGGGUCACAGAAAAACAGCCCAAUGACAGGAAAUCAUUUACAAUUGGGUGAAUGUGAGCCUCCUCAUCUUUUUAGUCUGCUUUUUUAAAGAAGUGAGACGUGCUAUCACGAUGUUUACCUGUCUGUCAGCUUCUGUCCACCAGUAAGUUUAUAAGCCACUGGCCACUUUCAGUCAAAUUUGUUGAAGUGGUAGAGAAAUACAGAAGUUCUUAAUGCAUUUCCUAGAAGUUGUUGCUUUUAUCAAGCAGGGACGUGUCUUUUGCACCCACCCGAGAGAAGGGCUGCAAGGCUGGCUCAGCCACCACCAGCUCCAUGUGCCCUGCUUAGCUGGCCAACAUCACAGCUGCACUGACCACCCUGGCAGUGCUUGUGUGGCUCUCAGCCCAGUACAAUACACCCCGCUCCUUGCUCUGCAGUCACAGAAGGAUCUGGGGGCAUGAUAUAGCUGGGUUAUCCUUAUGGUUUUGGGAGAAGAAUUGGAAGAAUAAGUGACUUUAUAUGGCAUGACACAAGACUUGGUGGUGACACAGAACGACAGAAAUAGGUGUGGAAGCAGAGAAUGGCAGUAUAAAGCCACUGCAAACCGGGAUUCAUUUCAUGGAGUAACUUUAUUAAAAACCUCUCUGUGCUGGGUAUUUUUGAGAGCUUUUUCCAAGUGAAAAUAUUUCAGUUCUGUCUAGGUUCAACAAAUUGCUAUAGUUUAGUUUAUAACAUAAUUCUGAGUGCUCAGGCUAUACUCCUUGUCAGAGACACAUUCUGUUUGAGCUCCCGUAGGAAUGAAGGUUGAUGCGACUGUACUGUCUGUCUGCUGUGCACUAAGUCAAUUGAGAACAAGGCCCAAAUUUGACAAACUUGGUUGAGGAGUGGAACUUCCUAUUUGAAUUGCUGUAAGUUUAAUGAAAAUGAGUAAGUGGCAAGAAAAAAUAGUUUAUGCUAAUUAUCCCUCAGCAAACCAAUUAGUAAACGUGUACUGGCUAUCCAAACAGCCUGCUUGUGAUUGCAGACUAACUAUAGCAAGAAUUAUCUUGUGCUUGCUUUGGGGUUACACAGGAAAGGGAGAGAAGAGAUCUGACAGAUAAACUGGGGUUAUUCUGACAGGGGAAAUGAAGCAUAUGCGAUAAAUAUUUGUAAAAUAUUGGAGUUUUGUUUGUCUUACUUCUGAUGAAAUAACUUGACUGUCUUGUCAAAACUUUUACGAUACAUGAACACUUCAAAAUUUGUAAAGGGGAACAAUGACAACAAAAAUUAACACAACACACAAUUAUUUCCUUUUUCUCCCCCCCGCAUUGAUUCAAUUUAUAACAUUUUUUAACUGUCGAUAAUCUCUGGAUUAUUUUUUAGGCUUGUGAUUUUCACAGAAUAUUACCUCCUUUCUUAUUAGGAAAGCAACAAAUAUACUUCAAUGUCGUUAUUUUAGCAUGUUGAGGUGGAUUCGAUUUUCUUCUAAUUACUGUAAACUUACACAUCUCUUCAACAGGGCUGAGGAGAAACAAAGGCAUCGGGGCAAAUUAACACUAUAACAAUCUGGACUCAAAAAAUACAGAAAUAUGAGUUGUUAUGCCAAAGAACCACUGUUGACAUAUGAGUCAGUUACCAAAUCAAACUGAUAUUCCUCAUUUUUUUACCCAAUAACUAGUUCUUUGCAGAGAAAAGUCCCACCAGAGUUCCAGACCCGAGCGGACGGAGGAAGAAAUGCAGCCGACUCAAUAUGAGUGAUAAAGCAUACUUCAACUUUAUUGCCCGAGAUGGCGUGCAUUUAUACCAAAUACCAUAAUUAUGCAUACUUGUCUCUAUCUAAUAGGCUAAGCACAUUUACUUACUCCACCUACUUGGGUUUAGCUAGCUAUGCGCAUCCCACAUUCUUCUGACUCUUAUCUCUUCAAAAAUAUCCUGACCCUGCUUUAGUCAGUACUUUUCCGUUCCCCCCUUUCCCACGGCCUAAUAGACAAGCUAACUAAGGCCUACUUAUGUCAACUAAAAUGGGCUCUGCUCGUACAGUUGCUUGGUGGACUCAUGUCUGUGCUCCUUGAGCCAAUCCCCGACAGUUCUUAUCUCCGAUUUAUUUGGUAGGGACUUUUCUAUGCUCUGAUUUGCUUUUGAUACUGUUGCUGGGGCCGACUGGAAUUAUCAUCUGUAGAGUGCGCCAUGUCACCUUACAUUGGCAUAUUGUGUUUUUUUUUCACAGUGUCAUCUAUUAUUAUGAUCUAUCAUAAUAUAGUAUCCCAUUCAUUACACAGCUCCUAUUUCUAAAUCUGUGACAAAGAUUUGCCAAAUUGUUUCCUUAAUAUAGGAAUAUUAGGGGAAUCAUUUCACUGCUUUUGUUAGUAAGCUCAAAGAAGGAUUGCAAGGACUCUGAUGAGUGUGAAGGUGGUGAGAAGACACCACCAUGACGUGCUUCACUCUGAGCAGAGUUCAGAGGUGUUUUUGCACUUAUCGAACUGGGGGCUGUCAGGCACCCUGAAGUCAUGGGAUAGAAAACACUAACAUACUUUAUCUUAUACUAGUCUGCUUCUAUAAUAAUUCACUUACUUAAAAAAAAUAUAGCAACUUUAAAAUACACAGAACAAAAAAUACAAAACUCCUGUGACUCUUAGCCAGUCUUGUGGGGGUUUUUUUGUUGUUUUUGUAUUGUUUUGUUUUCUUUACAGCAAAGAAUAAGAGACCGUUAACUCAUACUUUUUGAAUGUUUAGAGUCAAUGAUACUGUGAUGGGGUUCUAUUCUUGCCUUUCCUAUGAAUACUGCUAUGUAUUGGUUUUGUUGGUGGGAUUAGCAAGGCAGUGUUUGGAACAGCAGUGUUGUCUGAAACACUUUCAGUUGGUACAGCUGGCUGCUUUCACUCAUGGACCUAAUUUUGUUUGAGCAUGUUUGUUUUUGGAAAGUCAGCUUGUGACUCUAGGAAGGAUCCACUUUUCAGUAAUUUUCAAGAGAGCAGGCUUAAUCAGUUUUGAUAUUGCCCUGUUCUGAGACACACACAUAUGUGCACACAUAUCUGCACAGUUAUUUUCAAAAUGCUUCCCAAGCCACUCAUUGUGUCUUUAGAUCCUGCUCAUGGUGUCCCCUCUGUAUUUUGGUAUCACAUUCUUAUAAAAAGAAGCUACAAUGACACCAAGUGUUUCUCUGACAACUCUUGCAGUUGCUACAAUGGUCAUUCAGUAACUGCUUGGGAGGGUAACUCUUUCUUGCCACAAAUUUCUGGCUGUAAUAUACUGUUGAGAUGGUCCACACAAAACUAUUUGAGAACAUCCACCUUAAAUGUAUUUAUUUUAUUUUCAACAGUACAUGUCUGCAGCACUUUCACACAGUACAUCCUGGCAUACUUCCUGCCCAUGGCUGGAAAAGAUUACUUUGAUAAACGGAAGUCUGUGCAGUGAGGCAGACCUUCUUAGCCUUGUUCCUGCCAUUACCAGAGACCGAGCUCUGAAUAUUUCUCUGGGAACCUCAAAUGCAGAGUUAGCACACUGAACAGAGAAUGCCUUCCUACACCUGAAAAAAAAAAAAAAAAAAGGAGUUGAUUGAGUCGAAGCCACUGUUACGGGCUGAGAAUCAGCUCUACAUGGCUCAGAAGUGAAAGAGAGAAAUUAAACCAAAGCCUCCUCCAGCUUAUCUUGUCCUCACUCUCUUUUCCUUUUUCAGUACGAAAUUGUAUUGUCUUAAUCUGGGAAUGUGAUUUAUUUGUGAAAUAGCUAGUGGGUGGCAGAGGUGGGGAGCAAAGCCACAUGAAGCUGCCCAGAGCUGCUGACCAAGGUAAAUAGUGUGUCAUAACACAUUUAUCAAAUAAUAAUGGAAACCAUAUAAAACAUAUAGGAUGGAGAGGGGGAAAACCCAUUCCCCUCUGGGAAGUUACCGAAUAUUUCAGUCACUUUAUAAAAAUAUGUGUACAUGUGUUCAGAAGGGGGGAUGUUUUCCUAGCUUCACUUCUCUGAAUAAAUCAUUGGCCUAGGGUGUCUGAGCAGACAAGUGAAAUGGAUGAGCACAUUAUGGAUCAAGGAGAUGGUAUUCCUGCCCUGGUUAGUUUGAGAGAGACCACCCAAGCUCUGUGGGACUAAGAUGAUACUACAUUGUGCCUGUAGAGUUCUGAAAGGCUGAGGCUGCAGCCUUUGACAUGGUGGGAAGGUGAUGAGUAGGAUAAAAUUGGUGAUAUUUCUCAAACAGCAAGCAUGACCAGUCAUUUAUGUGAGGUGCCUUUGUUGCUAAUAUUCUUUUUGCUUUUGACUGUGUUGCCAGCAUAGACAAAUGAAAAAAGAAGAAAAAUGGCAAAGGUGUAACAGUUACAUCUAUUUUGGAAAUAUAUUGAUGUUUAGGUGAAACUGAAAAAAUAAAAAUAUAUAGUAUGUAGAUUUUUCACUGUUCAUCCUUAAUGAAUUUCAGUAUAUAGCAGCCAAAGUCUGAAGCUUUCAUUGAUACUGAGAAAUCUUGAAUCUUGGUCUGUUGAAGACAGUGGCAACUGCUUAUAGAAAGAGGCACCCAUUCCACAUUAAUAAGGCUUGCAGAAAGUAGACAAGUGCUACCAAACAAUACUGAGUUAAAAGAAGCCUGACAGAGACAGUAUCCUUAUAAAUAUAUAUAUUGUUACAACUUUAGAAUUGUUGCAAGGCAGAAGAUCAAAGUUUUGGGAUUAUAAUCUUUCACAAGAAAAGCUCUUAAGAGUGCAGCUGAUCAUUUUUUUAUGUUUAUACAUGGUAAUAGUGACUGAAGCCUUGUUGGUUUAUAUGUAGUAAUGAAUUAGAUGAAUUCUAGGCUGUAAGGAAAUCUAGUAGGAGUUAAAAGGCAAAAUAAGAAAGAUGCCUCAAUAGAAAAAUAGGGGGGUGAGGGUUUGUUAGUUUUUAUUGUUUGUUUGUUUGUUUUUGUGUGUGUGUUUUUUGUUGUUGUUGUUGUCAUUUUUUUUUAAUAAAAAUAUUUUUUUUUCUGUUAUAUUUUAAGACUCUAUACAUUUUUUGAAAAAAUUAAGUUGAAAUAAUGUUGGAGGUUUUUAUUUACCAAAACUUGCUUUCUGUUAUAGUAGACAAUCUUACAUUGCUCUAAAAUGAUUUUAAAAUGCUUCCCACAAAAAUGUAUAUUUGAAAAAAAAACACUGUGUUUUCCACCCAUGGAAUGAUUUUAUUCCUUGCUUGAUCAGCCAGAUGCAGAUCCCCGCUGCACUUGCUCAGCUGCUGAUUUGCGUUAGAGAUUGGGACAAGAGUUGUAAUGUGAAGCCCUGGGGCAGCUCACCUUUAACACCAGAUGGGACCCUGUGACUGCACAGGGGUGAUGCUGGUGGUUUGUGGACACUCUGCCUCCCAUAACCAAUGUCCCAGUGGGGUGUCAGUUCUGUUCCUGGCAAUGGGAUCUUCGCUAUGACGUAGGAGGCUGAGAUGCUGAGCACAUGCCAUCACUAAAGUUCCUGUAUCACGUUUCUCAGGAACAGAGGUGUUAAGUCCCCAUGUUCAGGCUAGAUUUCAGCUUCAGCAUUCACAUUGUGUUUACCCAAAUCUCCCCUGAAGUUUUGAUUCGAUACAGUAUCGUUCAUUUGGUGCCUUAAACUGUACAGUGCAAAGUUGCUGCCUGCACUACUGAACAUCUGCUCUGCUUCAAAAGUUGCUGAGUUUUGCCUGAGAAGAGAUUAUUUUCAUUUGUUUUAAGUUUUAGGGGGAACUAACUCAAUUGGGCCUCCAGCUCUCCCUGGAGAGGGGCUGAACAAUAGGUAUUUGUGCUGGAGAAAAAAGCUGCAAAAUACUGUAAAGAAUCCUUCUCUGCCCAAAGGCCUAAGGUACCCCAACAACUGAUCUACAGCUUGUACUAUAAACUGUGGGCCAUAGAUGCAGCUGUGAUCUCUGCGUGAGAUUUACAGCCCAUGGAUCUGCCCCUGCUGUGUUCCCAACCUGCUUAAAGCAACUUGCUAUGUUCCCAGCAUGUCCCAGCAGAAAAUGUUGCACAUCAGGCUGGGGGGCUAUCUGGAGGCUGCUCCAUAGCCUUGUCAAUUCAUGUAGACUGCUCAAAGCCUGACCACAGCUGGAAAGGCUCUUCCUUGUCUCAGGUCCAUUCUUGGAGGGAAAAAUUGUGUUACAUAGGACUCCAGGUGCUUGGUUACUGUAGUGAUUAGUGCUCUAGCUAUUAAUAAAGAGAUAAGUAAAUGCCCGGUACUGUUGAAGUACAAGGAAAACUUCUUAUGUAGCAGAAAAUUUAUACAGAAAUUUAUUACUACUAGAACUAUAUGAACUAUAUGAAUAUUACCAUAAGAUUUCUACUGCUGGUAUAUCUACACUGUGGCUAAUUACUGCACAAUGGAGAAAAGUCAGCAGAGACCUGCCCUGAAUGGCAGCCUACAGAGCAAGCAGAUGGGUGGAGAGGGUGUAGGGAGGAUCACAGAGCUGACAAGGAUUUGUGAUUUUGUGAAUCCUCUUAACCUGUUCCCUCAUGCAGAGGUUUCUCCAGUCAGGGAUCCUUCAUAGAGAAUCCUUCUUGCUACAUCUGCUGGUGCAUUUUCUUUGCACUUUCUCAGCUCUCUGUGUUGCAAGGCAACCUCAGUGCAUGAAACACACACCUGAUAAUUCUGCAGUUAAAUCAAUAUUUAAGAAAUGUAGUAUUAAAAAAGGGCCAGAAAAGAAUGAUUUGUUGUUGAAAGUGUUGUCUAAAGCAUAUAAUUGAAAGGAUUCUUGUACACAGAAAAGAAGACAGGUUUCCUUGACAUCAAGAAUAGGCCUCGAUCUUGUAGUUAUUUUGGCAGGUGCUUAAUUCCCAAAGUGUGAUUUAUCCUAUGAAAUUCAAUGCACAUACUGAAACAAAGGAGUGGGAAGGGAGGUGGGAGGGAUUACAAAUGUUGAGAGAAAGGCAAGAGGGGCUCUCUGAACAAACAGGACUGAAAGAGGGAUUGAAGGAGGAAAGGAAGGAUGACUGGUGAAUGAGAAUAGGAAAGCAAUUCAGAUUUGAAGCUGAAUCAGCAUUUGCUGACAUGAACGUGACACUAACGGAAAGGAUUUGGAAGAAGAAUAGUUAUCAGCUAAUAGACUUGUUCUCUUCAAAACAUUCUGUGCUCAGGUAAUAGCAUGUAGACUUUGUUUAUGAUAACUAAAAGUAACAUGUUUUGGUCUCAAAGAGAAUUGACGGUCAGCAACAAGGAAUACCACGCUCACCUGUUUUUCUUCUUUCUCUUUUCUUCUUUCUUGAAAUUUAUUUCUGGAAGUCAUUAAAAUUCACAGCCCAUCAUUUGUAAAAAAUGAUGUGAAGUGUUAGGUACAGUACUUGGAGAAUAUGUUUGUUAAAAUGAAGGAAGAGACCCUUCCAACACUUUGGGAUUUUAUGAAUGAUUUACAUCUGGUGCUAAAGUUCAUAAAUGAAACGUGGGAGAACCAGAUGCUUCAUUUCUUGACUGCAUCGUGUCUGCACAUACUGAUGGUGAAUUGAAAACAGGAAUGUCUCAUAAAUCAAGAAAAUCUAUUUUUGUACUCUUGAUUUCUAUUCUGGAGAUCCAUAUAACACCUAAACAAAUGCGGUAAAAUUGGUUCCUCAAGAAACUCUUUAUGUUUAGUAGCAAUGCAGACAUAUUAAUAAAAAAAAAAAAAAAAGAAAAUAAACCAAUCUUCAGAGUAAAAAAAUGCUCAGAAUGAGCAACUGUUCUUGGAGAUUAGCAUCAAAGGCACUUUGUUUAGCAAGAGAAAGACUGAGAAAAACUAGUAGGCAAAUUAUGGCAGUUUGUACGUACAAAGAGCUAUGGUGUGUAAUAAGGUGACAUUUCACAACUUUUGGCAUUGGUGAAAAAUAAAUUAAAAGCCAAAUUCUUCCUUCAGUUACUGACAUGAUAACUGAAAUGAGAAUCCUGCCCACCAUUUGAAUAGGGAGAUUGAAGCUCACAAGCAGACAUUUGCACAGAACAGAGUAAAAUUCAGAUUUUGUUUCAUUUUCCAUCAGUGCUUUGGAAAGAUCCUCUUUGCCUGCUCUUCUUUCUUGCUGACAUUUCCUAUUGGCCUAAGAACUGUAAGCAAUGCUUGUCAUUAUGUUCAGGUGUCACUAAAAUCUUUCUUAACAGGUUUUAAAAUAUCAUUUAUUGAAUUAUAAUGAAAAAACAAGCACAAGUCAGUCUACAGAUUUUUUUUAAAUAUAAAUAAUAGAUCCAAGUUAUUCUCCCUCACCCUUCCCACUUCCUUGAUUUCAUAAUACGUGUUUAUCCACACAUUUAAUAUUAUUAUAUUACCAUUUCCAAACUACCUGUGAGAAAUAAUAAGCAAUAAUAAGCUUAAAUGAAGCAGUUUCACACAAAGGGUUACCAAGUACCAGCUGAUGUAUGCUAGCUGCCCAUGUAUGUCCCCUUGGCCUCCAACAAGUGCAUGGCAAUUGGAGUGGGCUUGGCCCACCGUGCAGGUGUGUGAGGCCAACUUGACCCAUCCUGUGCUUGCUGCAGGGGAAUUGUGUGCAUCCAGACAGUUCUUGCAGCUCAACAGAAAUUUGUUACCUUGUGGUAUCUUGGUAUGUCUGAACCCUGGGAUGUGCAUGCCUUGCUAGUUCUGUUAACAACUGAAAAUAAAUGUUUAUUUAAAUUUAUUUACACAUCCUACACACAGAUUGAGUGUAGGUAUGCUGGCAGAAGGGAGACUUUAGGAGGGAUUGCGUAAAGGUGAAGGAAAUGGCUUAGCAGCCAGGUUUCAAGGAGUCACCCCAAAUGCAGGGAGCAAUAUGAGACUGUGAAGGCAUUUGUGAUGGUAUCAAGGUAGGCACUGCUGACAGAGCGGGUGGAGUUUGUGAGGUAGGGGAGCUGAACUCAUUUUCAAAGAUAGGUAGGUAGAUAAAAUAAACAUGCAGAUUGUAUAAACACGCCAUUAGCUUGUGCAUCUGCUGCUCUGAUAUUUCUCUCGUGGAAGCCAGUGAAGUUUUUGCCUUUUACUUCCAUGAGGACAAAGUGAAGUUUUUGCCUUUUACUUCCAUGAGGACAAAGUGAAGUUUUUCUAGGGGGAAUAUUCCCCUAUUACAUGCUGGGCAUCGCACCUGCUUUCAGACUGAGGUGGAGUUACUAAAAGUGACAGAACUGCUCUGCACUCCUCUUAGUUAUCUUCCUGCUCAAAAUAUGUCCCUAACUAAUACAAUUUGCAAUAUGUCAUAAAACACAAAGGAAAGCACUUUUCACACCAAAUAUCAGAAAAGCACUCUUUUUUCUCAACUGCAGAAGUAACAGAAAUGAUGUGUUCAUUUUAAAUUCCAUUCAUGUAGGCCCUAAUAAAAGCUAUUAUAAAAUACAAUUGUGUGGAGACAAAAAGAGAGAUAAUAUCACUUAUAGCUCAAUAUAAAAUUUAAGUAAUUAAGACAUGAAAACUAUUACACAAUUUACUAUGAAUACAAUGUGAAUAAGAAAGUGUUUAACCAUUUCACUUCUGUGUGUUUUGUUUUUGUUUUGUGUUUCUCCUUUUUCUACAAUGCCUUUUGAAAACGUUUGAGGGUGAAAUAUUGCUAAAGAUCUAAAUUCCAUAUUACUUCAGAAGUUGAGCAGGACUGAAAAAUAAGGUAGCUGGGUUUUCCAACUAGGUCUUGUAAAUAUUUUUAGAUGUUGAUGUCAAUAUGGCACUCUGCCACAUAAUGGAUUCUCCAUGAAAAACGUCAUUUUCUUGUGAUUUUGGUGGUAGUUGUGAAUAAAACAGGGCAUCCUGAGUGAACUGUGGAAGUAUUUCAGCAAUGCAAGCUAAGCAACUGCAUAAUAGUUUUGAAAUUGUGUAGACAGACUGAUGGCUUCCAAGAUUAAAACAAAAACCUCCAUAAAGGUACUGAAAAGUAUUUUUGAACAGGAAUUGCUUAAGCUCUGCACUUUUCUUUCAUAUGAUUCUGCACCAUGUCCUCUUCUCUGGUGGGCUUCAGGAACCCUGUUGGUUAAUGAUUGAGAGAAAAGCUCAGUCUAGUCUUUCUGUAGCUGAGUGAAUAUCAUAAUUCAGUAUCUUUAAUAGACACAUUAUUUUCUUGUGCACCGAUAUGCGCAUGACAGUCACAGGCAUGUACCGGCCACCGCAUAGUAACACUUAGCCACAUCUGCUCUGUGAUCUUUUAACUUAUUUCCAAUGUUGUUGUGUAUGUUUAUGUUCUAGCUCAAAUCUGUGGCAAACAAUUUGCUUCAGACUGCGUCCAGCAUUGUCCUGAGCUGCAGGAACUGAGAGCUCUUGUUGGUGGUUCAGCAGGUGGCACUCUUCCCUUUAGAUCGGUCCCAGCCGGUGUCCCAGAUGUCACAUGGUACAUGAAGUAGUCGUUCCACCUGAAUCUAGAGGACUGAACCGUCACUUGCACUGCUGCCUGCCAGGGACCAGUGUUUGCCAAUACCCAGGUUAGAGUACCUCCUCCGCUGGAUGCAGUCUGUGUGGUUUGGGGAGCAUCCUUGUCUUGUCUGCCAUAGCGGCAUCUUCCAUAUCUGCCGCAUGCAGGGAACAGAAGGAGGGCAUAUGGUGUGGACCAUCUCUUACAUCUGGGCAACAUUUGUCUUCAGGACCUAGUUCUUCCCAAAGACCUACAGAGAGAAUGGAAAUGAAGCUUAGAGUUCAGUAAGACACAACUCUGAUGUCCGGCAUGUUUUUUAGGCUGACACUUUCAAAAAAGCUUACUGCUUUUGAUGAGUAAAUUUGAGGAGGGCUUGUUCGCUAGGCCUUCAGAGCUGAUGAUCUGCAGUUCUAUUUAGAGUAGUUUUGUAGUUCUCAGAUCUUCAUCAGCCAGACUUCAAAUGUCUCAAAUUGGGUGCCUGUGUUUAUAGCGUGCUAAUCUUCACUUCACUGUGCCUUAAUUUCUUGGCUAUAAAAUGGAACCACUAAGACUUACACAUUGUGGCUUCCAGGCAUGUGGUGAGGCAUGAAAAUGUUUGUGAUGUGCUGGGGAAAAAAAAAAGAAAAAAAUAGAAGGAAUUGAUCACUGUGUUUACAUUAAUUGUUAUGAUGAAGAAUCUCUUUAUGAAGUUUUUGUCCUUGACCUUUCGGUCCCCUGUCUUUUUCUGUUGUCGUGGCUUGUUUCAAAACGGGCUGAAUGCUCCCUGAAGCCGCAGGCAUAUGGACAUACAUGUGUACGUACGUAUGUACAUAUGUUUUUGUAUGUGUAUAUAUACAUAUAGUACGUGUGUGUUUAUAGAUACCAUAUUAUGGUCACUAAAAAAUAAAAAUCUGCAAAUAGGCCAGAAUGGAGAGGCAAAAUCAUGAAAAUCUGUAAGUGAGGCAACAAAAAAUGGCAUGCUUCAAUUUUGACGCAUCAGAUUUUAAUUUUCUUUGUAUUUAGUUGUGUACAUCAUGAUUUCUUCUUAAAAUUGAUAAAACCUUUUCUCUAAUAACAUUUUAUAAGUCACUCUGCUAUUUACAGGCUUUAAGAUCAAUCAUUAAAACAACUGAGAAGUAGAUGCUACAUGGGCCAAAACUUAGCCCAAACUUUAUAGAGAGGAAAGUUUGCAGGUUUGUGGUUCCUUACUCUCCUCAGUAACUCAUCCCAUAUAUAGUUUAAUAUUUGAGAUAUAAAUUAUUCAUGAAUAGUCUUUAGUAAUCAGUGAAUUAGCCACAUGCAAUUAAAAAAAAUUGACCUCCUCUUUGCAUUUAAUCUGACUAAAGUCAGUGUCAUUGCUGUGUGAUUGGGUCUCAUCUAUUUUUAUUCUGCUGUAAGAGCUGUUUGGAUCUGAAAUUGACAAAACCACCGUAGAAACCUGAAAAAAAGGUAAGCCAUAUAUAUAUGCAUAUAUAUGUAUCUGUAUGUGUGUGUAUAUAUAUAUGUGAUGAAACCGGGAUUCAGCCCAUUGUGUGAAUUCAAAUUUUUUCACACUGCCCAUCAUAGUUAAAAAAAAACCUGACCCUUCAUGCACGACAAACUUUUUAGAGAACUCCAACAGAACGAGAAUGCAAGCCAUCCAAAAGAAGAUAAAUCCUUUUUAAAAGCUACCAGGAAUGUCUGGAAAGCCAGGUCAUACUGAACAAACAUUCUGACAUCUCUUUUUGGAAAAGCAAUGUCAUUUUACAGUAGAUGACUCUUCUGGCCCUUUACCAAAUAGGGCCUGAAAGAAAAAGUUUACUUGAAAAUAAAUUUGAAUUUUGACAUUUGAUGUGAAAAGAAAUUAAAAACGCUCUUUGAAGAUGUUUAUAAGACAUUAACUAUGGAUCUUGCUAAAUAUCAUGUUCUCCAUUUUGGCAAGACAGCUUUGCUUUGCUGCCUUUUUUUUUUUUUUUUGCUUUUUUUCCCAUCAGGCCCAAACUGCUGACAGAAUGUCACUCUAAUAGAAAAAGAAAUCAUUUGGAACAGUUAUUAAUGUAUAAAAAGAGUGUUAGAGAAGGUUUAGCCAUCUAAAUGGCCAAGUUCAACAAGACACAAUUCGGGUUGUAUUAUCUCCCAUCCCUGGAGCACACAUAUGUGAAUUUAUGAAGCUUAGAAAGGGGAUAAAUUAGCCUUAUGCACACAUUUUUUCACUUGAUUAUUCAAACAGCUAAAUAGUUAACACAUUUUUUUUUCUUUUUAAGCAACUAUAACAUCAUUACCUACCAUAGCUUUGAUUUCUUCCUAUCUUAAUAGCUACUACACUGUAAAUACUUAUUUAUUCAUAUAUAUCAUGUUGUGGAAAAAAUGUUAGUUAUGAAAAGCUAUAUGUUACCUUCUGUACUACACAGGGGUGGGACGUCACCAUAGACUGUGGUGGAGUUGAGGAGCGUGCACUGAGUGAGACAUUGAAGGCAUUGUUUAGAGAGAUAAGGAGAAUUUGGAGAAACAAAAACUGAUGAGGACAAGAUUUCACAAAGACAGAAUGGCCAGUAAUGUGAAAAGCUGUUGAGAUGUCCUAGGGAAAUGUCAGAAGAUUCAGACCCCGAAAUUUGACUAGGAGAAGAAUAGAACACUUUUAAGAGAGGUUUCAGUGGAGUACAGACUAAAAAACUGAUUGAAUAGGUUCAAGAAGUAGGCUACAAGAAAUUAAUUCAGCAGGAAAUUGUAGAUGAUGUAGACAGAUAGAAAUUCGAUAAGCUUGGCAAGAGAGGGAAAAGCUGGCUGGAUCCUAAUGGCAGAAUUACAUAGGAUGAAGCAUGCACAUACCAAAGGUAAAAGAGACUUCUGGCCGUAUACUUAAUCAUAAUUAUCAUAAAUCAGUGCAAGUGAUUCUUGUAAGAGCUGAUUAUGCUCCUGUCAAAAGUUCUCAUCUUGGGACUCAUUUAUACUCUGGUCUCUCCCUUAAAAUUUCUCUUCUGAAAAUUCUGUAACAAAAUUUAUAUUCUUUUUCUAUUAAGUUUGUUAAUUAAGACAAUUUAAAAGUUUGAUCUUAUUGCUGGAUAAAACAAAAUUUUAUUUUCCAUUUAUAGUAAUGAAUUUUAAAAUGAAAGGAAAAUAUUUUUAAAUUUUUUAUUAUUUUUGCUAAGCCUGUAAAGGCAAAACUUUUCCCCUCAUUCAUCAUUUUAAGUAGUAAGUAAUAUGGAAUUUAAUGUAUUCAGAAGAUAAAAUGAAGUUCAAAUAACAGCAUAAAACAUUCAUCUCAUUAUUCUGAAACAUACAGUUAUCAGUUAUUUAAAAGAGAUAAUUUCUACUAAUAUCCUUCUAACCAGCCCUUGCCUACUUUUAACCCUGUUGUGCUGGAAUGGGAACAUACAUGAUGAUUAUCACUGCACGAUUUUGAGAACCUUGCUGGGGAGGAAAAAUGCAUUUUUGGCCAGCAACACUCCAGCUAGCUCCACCUGGACAGUUUGCCCCCUUUCAAGCCUGGUAAAGUUCCAUAUUCUGUUUUCUGUGUCCAGCUAGCUUAAAACCUGAAUCUGAGAGCUAUGCCUUGUGUUUAUAAGAUAGCGGGCCAGCAUUCAAGGCAAGAAUUCACAUUAUGCAUUCCACAUUGUGCUGUGUCAGUGCUAGGAGUCCUGAGCUGGUGCAUUCUCUAAUUAUCUUGGGUUUGUGCAAAAGCCAGUCACAGAAGUGAAACUUGUGCAGACAACCCCCUCCUCGCUUACUUUGCUCAAUCUUAUAAAUGACACUAACUAUCAGCUUUGCUUCCAGAGGUUUUCCAGACCUCUGCUGUUUCUUUUUGGUCUGCCUGUCUUUGUCUGUUAUUUUUCUCUAAGUCGACACAUUCAAAGCAGAGCUGAAGAAUGCAAAGAUUAUCCACUUCCAAAAUCUUCUCUCCAUGGACAGACCCAUAUAGCAUGUGCUGAUGAAUGACAGCUUAUUGUUCGUUCUCAUUACAGUAACAUGUAAAUCUACUGACUGUGACUGGGGAAACAGGGAGCUUGGUUGCACUAUAAACUUUCUCAAGUGCCUGCUGGAGGCACAGUGUGUUUCCCCAAUCACCGUGCCUAGUGCCUAGCAAUCUUUGAAAAUGCAAAACAAACAAAUAAUUCUAUGCAUGCAUACACAACAGGCAGGAAGGAUGUGUUUUAAUGUAAAUUGAGUUAAAAGUUCUCAGGCUGAAUUGCCUAAGGUGUUUAGGAGUUAGUUGAUGGUGUAUAAUAGGUGCUCAGUCUUUUUCUUGCUUCUUGGUACAGACAGCAUUGAUUGGCUGGGCUGAUUAUAGCCCCGCACGUCAAAAAGGUGCGAGUUGUUCUUAACACCAGAAAAUCGGCUCUUGUGUGAGCAGGCUUAAUGCAUGAUUAGCUAUAUGGUAUAGACAUAAAUUUUGUGUGCUUAAAAUUGAAGUGAACUUUGCUUGUAUGACAUAUCCAUGUAGAUAUGGCCAAUAGCUGUUAGAGUCUGUUGCAGCUCAUAUUUAUUGCUUGUAGUUAAAGUAAAAAUCCAUGCCACAUGAUUGUAUUAAAUUCAGGAAAAAAAAAACAAAACAAAACUAAUUGUCCUUCUGCCAAAGUUUAAGUGCUACAUUUUUUCAGUAGAAUUUAACAAAUGUUUGUCUUAAAAUAGACGGACAAUGGGUCAAACUGUUUCACUUUAUCUGUUAUGAACUUAAAAUUUAUCAAAGAUAGUACUCGCUCUUCCCAGAGCAAUUUGUAUUUUCACUCCUGGAUUUAACUAUCAAAUUCUCCUUAGAAACUACUAUUUAGCAGCCACAACAGCCUAAAAUAUUUGAAAUAGAUCACUGCAACAGACUUCCACUUUCACCUGCCACACACAACAUCUUAUGUAGAUAUUUUGGGGAAUAAUCAUUGUUUACAAGUCUUUAUCUCUAAUGAGGACUUGUAAUCUUUUUAGAGAAAAUUGUUGAAGAAGAUACCUGCUACCUUGUCCAAGAUCUGAUAUCCCUCUUUAUCUUGGCCAGCAAUGACCACCUACCUCAUGGAUGUGCAUGAAUCCAAGUCAGUUUGGAGUGCAAGCUAAAUCUUCCUUCUCCCUUUACAUUUGUGUUCCACUUCAUCAUUUUCAGCCCCUCAUCUGGAAUAGGGCCUCUUCUUGCUGUUGUAAUAUAACUAACAGUAAGACUUGAGAGGGUGGGUGUGAUCCACUAUCAGAAAGGGUAUCUUAAUCUUGCCCUCUCGUGGUAAAGCACAUUAAAUCCAGGAUUUAAAAAGUAGACUAAGAACUGAUGGGAUUAAACAUGUUACAUAUCUUUAAGGAAGGCACAUUUAUUCUUUAGUGUUUAGUGCUAAGUCCCAUGUUGAACUAAAUCCAAAAAUGAGAUGUAGAUUCUGGCGCAUCUAAAAAUGUCAAACUGGAUCUCUUCGUUCUUGCUUUGAUGUGGCAAUAUUCUUUUAGUGCCUGAACAACAUCUCGGGUAGAGGUGAAAAUGGAACAUAGAGAUUUUUAAUUUAGUUGUGUUAUUUCUAACAAUUAUCUAAGUCAAAUUAGAAGUAAAAGGCUACUCAUCUUUGUGUGUGUGUGCAUGCAUGCCCAACAGUUCCUAAAUGCCAAAAGAAAAUUAGAGUAAUUUUGAUAUUGAAAUGAUUACUACCACUUUUGUAAUAAACUGAUGCAACUUUAGAAGUCUGUCCCUGAUAUGUUUCAUGAUUUAGACAUCACACAAGCUAUAAUUGUGCUAUUAAAGGAAAGAGAGCUAAUCUUUCUGCAUUUGAAGUAAGCCCUCAUCAUCAGACCCGACAAAGCCAGACAGAUCAAAAAAGAGUAAAAAAGAGCAUUUAAGGAAAUUAGUACAAGUGUCAGUUAAAAGGUAAAAAUUAAUGCACUUAUUAUUGAAAUACAGUUGAAACCUACGUUCUUUUCAUUUCUUUGAUAUUGCUAAAGCAUAAAACAUUCAAUUAGCUUUCCAUUGUGUUUGAGGGGUAGUGAGGAAAGGCAAAGCAUUGUCAAUGAAGUGUUAGGUGUGUAGGUGGUGUGUGUGCAAGGCAAAAAUUAUUAGAUAUGAGCAGAGGGUACAGCAAAGGCUUUUACUUUGCAAUUGACAAAGCCAGUCAAUUCCUUUAGUGUGUUCCAGGACAGUGUUCUUCCAUGUAUACUGCUUUUCCUAAGCAUACAGUACUGAGCCUCUGAGAAGGUAGCAUGCAGUCCUUUCAUCCUCACCAGGGAGUAUUUAUUUUCCUGAUUAUUAUUAUCUACAUCAUUGAAACUGGCAUGGUUGUGCACCUCUUUCUUAAUAAAAAGUGAAUACAGAUAAAUUGAUAAUAUUUUGGACCAUUGAAUAGUAGUACUUUGCAACAUAAGUGAAAGAGAUACGUUUAAUUCACACUUACCCUCCGCCAUAAAUAUGAAUUCCCAUGGCUGUAUUCUUUUAUUCUUUGAAAGCUGUUACUCAGAUUGCUGAUUUGUAAAACCUGAUUUAGGAUAUUUCAAAAUAUAUCCUUGAUUUACAACUAUUAUAUGUUGGCAACACCAAAGCUGCAAAUAAUUUGUAGUAAUGCAGUAGUUUUUCUCACCCUUUGUGCUUUUUAAAGGGAAAACAUCUUUUUUUAAUUAUUAUUAUUAUUUCUUUUUUUUUUUUUUUUUUUAAAUGGGAACACUGUAAUGAUAUAAAAUGUAUAUAGAGAGAAUUUUGAAAUUCAUACAAAACAGGAACCCUUCUGAACGUAUUCAGCUGGCUUGUUAACAAAAUAUUUCUAAUAUAUUGAUGAAGAUGUUUUCUCUCUAUUUCCACCAUCCCCAUAUUUUUUUCGAAUUUCAGUAACAUUAAGAUGAUGCUGUAGUGUUUAACAUGCUUUAAUUAAAAGAAGUAUUUGCUAAUUGGCAUAAAAUAUCUGUGUGAUUAUUUUUCCAUAUAUUUAUGACUUUGCAGUAAGAGAACAGCUGCUAAAUAUUUUCUUACAUGCUGAUUCCACUUAAUCAACAUUCUUUUUAAUGGAGCUAACAAAAGUUACAAAUUGUGUUUUACAAAUGUGUUCCAUGAAAACAUCAGCAUGAUGGCAAAGUCAUGCCCUUUGAGGUACAAAUGAACAGGUUUCCCACAAAACACUUCUAUAUAGAUAAGAGAUAAAUCUUAGUUUAAAAAUCCUUUGCAAUAUUGAGCACCUUCCAAGCCAAAUGUGUACUAGCACUUAAAGAAAAUAUUACCAGUUUUAACACCCAACUCACUUGAUGUUUUGAAUAUUAUUCCUAUUAAUAUGCACAUUAUAGAAGUUAAUGCCAUACUGACAGAUUUAAUGCUUUGUAAAUGUGCUGAAUUAAACUAGAAAGGUAAAAGCAGCCAUUACCCUAAGACCUAAAAGAGAGACACUAAUCAGCUGGCUUUUUUCCUCCUAUCCUUUUUGCAAAUGUCUGGGAGUACAGGUUUUAUUUAAAAUGCAGGGCUAGAAAAAGCUUAGCCACAGGAAAAAGAAAAGGUCUUGACCCUUAAAUAUUGAUUCUGUUCUAUUGAUUACAAGAGAUGGGGGUGGAGAGCCUUUUUAAAAAUGUAAUCCUAAAAAAGACACAAAGCAGAUUUAGGUAAAAAAGCAACCUGAGCUUUGUUAUUUACAGGACUAAAGAGUUACAGAAUAAAGGGCAAAGUGGAGGGAGUACACAUGGACUCCAGAGCUGAUCGUCAGGCCUCAAACUCAGAAGCCAAAAGCCCUCGCUUCUCCUGGUUGGGUGCGCUCUGUCAGUACACUGCUGCCCAUGGAAGCUGGGAUUUCCAGAAAGGUAUGAUCUCCUCACUGCACAAGCAAGCCUUCUGUUCACCAACAUUGCUAUUAUGUGACUAGUUGAUCUGUCCAGAAAGGACAAGAUGCGUAGAGCCAGAAAAAUAAGGUAAAAUACUCUGUUUAGGUAAGAUAGAUCUAAAAAUAAAGUAUAUAAAGUAUGUCUUAGUUUUAGCAAUCUGUGGUAACUUUCAGAAGCAAACAUUAAUCUGGACAGUGAGUAAUCAAGGUUAUGACCACACAAGAGUGAUCUGGUAUGACAUGAGUGAUCUGGUAUGGCAUGGUGCUUUGCAUGGAAUGAUUAAAUACUGCUAAAAAAAAUAAGGAGGAGAUUAGUCUCUGUAGAAUAACAUGACUUUGCAGCUGCCAGUGACCAAUCUUCUUUGAUAUCUCUACAUGGCAUACCAACGUGCCAUAUGGAAAAACGUACUGAACUGUCAUGCUAGGUAGUCUGUUCUCAUUAUGGUGUGCCUUCACCAUUGCUCUAAUUUCAUUUUUGCUGUCUGAAGACAAUGGUCUCAAAUAAGAGCAAUAUGGCAGGUCCCCAUUUGGUUUAGAAGGAUCCCUGGAUUUUAAAAUCCAUCUUUUUGUUGUUUGGCAAAUACUGUCCAAAUUAUUUUCUUCUAGAGUUUUUAUUAGUUGCAGUAUCAUCAGUAAUUCUGCAAUCAGUGAUUUGCUUCACAGUGUUGCUUUAGUGCUCAAAAACAUGCAAAAGAAAUCUUGGUAGAGAAUCAAAGAUGAAAUCAAAUUACUUAAAGAUUUAUUUUUUUUACUAAUGUUUACUUCUGCCUGGUUUCUCCUCCAUUGAAAGAAAUCUAUGAAGUUUAAAAAGACUGUUCAUUUCCUUUGUAUAACAAUUCAGAAAUAGGAAUUUUUUUGAGUGUGCCUACUAAAUUAGAACAUCCAGGACAGCUGAUUUCAUCAAUAAUAAACUCUCUUUGCCCCAGAUAGUGACAAAAAUGUUUCUCAAGGGAGGUAAAUAUUUACUUACAUAUUUAUAAACUUUCUCAGUAUUUUUUUUUAUGAGACUCCUCAGCAGCUCAUGCAAAAUAAAGUGGCGAAUUAGAAAAUGUGCUGCAUAAUAACAGAUAUUUACAUUUUUCUCUGUUUUACCUGUCUUUUAAAGAACUAAGAUGAGAAAAGUGUAAGAGUCAUAAUGCAAACUGGGGAGCUCCAGAACUCUUUUGGACUUUCUUGAGUUUUGACUCUCAUUGUCUUCUCUACAUGCAGCCUAGAAUCUUCAACACACAUGGGAAUGGCAGUUGUGGUGCAAAACACCCCAGUUUGAAGCUGGGAGGAAACUCUCCUGCCCUGAGGUCGGACUGGUUGGGCUGAGGGGCUUGGGCUACCAUGGCUGUGAAGGGGCAGAUCGGGUGAGGGGCUGCCUGGGGCCGAGAGACCUGGGCUCCUCUGCUUUGCAGAUCCCACCUGGCUGGAAUGAGAUGGCUUCCUCGCUUCACAGCAACAUACUUAGAUAUUUGUCCUUGUUUUGUUAAAAAGUUUCUCUUUCAGUGAAUUUUCCCUGUCAGCUAAAGCCUUCAUAUUAACUGCAUUUUCCUGGAGAACCAGACACAUGUUUUGGUAAACCUAGCAAUGGAAUGCAAACUUAUUGAUAAGCAUGGAUGGACCUCUCACGAGAGGGGCAACGAGAAACCGGUGACCAAGAAACUGACCAACUGUGUAUAACAUUCCAUUCACGUGAAUACUUCAUAUAAAAGUGGGAGAUCAUGAGGAUCUCGGCCCUUUUUCCCUUUUGCCUUUGCUUUUUCCCUUCUGCUUAUGGCUGACAUUAGGAGAGGACCUUGCCAGUUGUCCCUGCGAACUGAGGCCUAGUGACAGACUGAAUCCAGCUCCGGUUGGCUGCAGAGUCUAAUCCAGGACUCUGGUUGCCGGCUCUGAAGUUGCUGAGACUUUCAAGAUUGAAAUGAAGAAAGGAGAAACUGAAGGGAAACUCAAGUUUGGAAAUUUAUUUCACAGAAAAGACAAAACAAGGUUCAUGGAAGGUAAGUACUGCAGAAGGACAAGGUAUUUCUGAGCUCUGUUCCUUUCCAAGUGCAUUCAGUGCUGUGCACCAAAAGAUGUGCAAACAGCAAAAGAAGUAGUACAUAAUACAUUAUUUUAUUACAUAGUUCUCUGUUUAAAAAAAUAAACAAACAAUCACCACUGCCAAACAACAAAAACCCCAAACAACAACAGCACAAAACCACAAUAACAAACAACAAAAAAAUACCAGUAACCCCAGUCUUGUAGUGGCGAUAGCGUGUCUGUGCCUUUUUUUUAUAUUGUUUGAGGUUACCCAAUCUAAAGUAGGCUUGGACUUCUUACACCACUUACCUGUGAGGGCUAGAAGUUUGGUUUCCAGAUAUCCAUGUGUUUAUAGGCAUGUAGCUGGAUCUGUGUGUCUUUUGCAGGCAUCAUAUAUCCUGAAAUAAUUGUGUUCUCUCCAUGCACAAGAAUUGUGUUUUCAUGUGUCUUGUUACAAUUUAUGGAUUACAGAAUGCAUAGUUUCACUAUCUAAGUGUCACUCAGAUGCUGCUCUAUGUUUUCUGCUCACCCAGCUUGCCCAGCCUUACAGAUGCACUAAUUUAUGUCCUGAUCCAUGCUCUGGGAAUUAGUGUCAUGGCACUGAAUAAGAUUGUAAAGAAGGAAAAUCUACUUUUUUUUUAACCUCUGUAUGUUAAAGGUACUUAUCUUGUUGCAUGAAUAUGGAUGGUAGUCUCCUAUGAAUAUGGAAACAACUAGGGAGGAUGGGUCAGUGUUUAACAUUAACUGCUCUUAACCUUUCCACUACGCUGACCCUACCACAAUAUGAUACAUAGGAGAGAUCAGGCCUAGCUGAUUUUCUGUAGAAUGCCAUUAGUAAUUUUUUGCCACAUAGGUUUGCCCUAAAGCCUUGUUUGCCACCUAUAUAAUUAUUAGAAGACUCUUGUAAUUGUAUUUGAAAUUCUACGUUGACACUUAUGUCACAGUACUAUGGCACAUAUUAUGUUUAAUUUCUCUUUUGUUCAUCUCAUUUAAUGUGCUGAAGAAUUAUACUGAAAAGAUGAUCCCACACACUUCUUUUCCAUACUAUUACCAGCUAUGUGUUUCUCCCUACCUGCUAGAACCAUCAAUUUAAUUAAAAAAAUGAAAAGAAGAAAAAAAAAUAGAAUGUAUAGGUUUGCACACUCAAAAUAUAAAGUGGGUAAAUUCCCCAUAACAUGUGUUUUUUUCUGAAGCUGGAGUAAUAGGACAUCUAUAUAACACAGCAGUAUUGCAGGAUGAUGUUGCUAAACUAACCACGACUUUGACAUAUUGCACAAUCUGAGCUGUUUAGCCAAAGCCGUGUUCACUUGAUCCUUUUACAGAGAAAACUCUUUCAAUUAGCUUCUUCCUCCACCCUGACAGACUUGCUUUGGUGUCUCCUGCAGUGCUCCAUUUAUUCCCAGAACCCAUAGGUGAGGCUUCUUAGUGUGAAGACUCAUGAGAAGGUGUUAAAUAGCAGGUGACACCUGGGAUGCAUGUUCAUUCUCAUUGGCCGACCUUGGAAUGGAAACUCCUGGUGCCGUCACAAAGUGGUUGUCUGUGAAUGGUUAUAAUAGGGGCACUCUGUGUGGAAAUAGAAUAGGAUGAUCAUUUGGGCUCCUCAGGUGAUUAUGUUGCUUGGUCUCUGGUUAUACCUGACCUCUUGUGAAAUGUUGGAAAUUCAUAGCAGUGAUCAGUGCCAAUGGGGAGAAUCAUCUGGAUUGCUUUCAGAUAAGACUGUAGAGUGGAAAACAUACUUGGAUUUAAUGCAGGACAAAUGUUGCAGUAGGUGGUGUAUUAAUAUUUUCAUUAUCAUUGUUAUUAUUAUUAAUUUAUUUAUUUGUUUUCAAGUUUAGAAGGCAGGAGAAUGUAAUAUGAAGUCACAAAGAGUAAGCACUAUUCAGCCACUACAAAAGGAGUGGAAAUGAAGCUUUUCUUACUAGUUGCUUUCUACUUAGCCACAUCUUUUGGAACAGCCAAAAACUUUCUUCCACCUGCUGCAGGUUACUAUAUGGAUUAACUGUUCCAUUUUGAAGCAGUUUUACUGUGGCAGCAAUCCUGGUUUACCACUGUUCUUCAUUUGUCAUUCUCUAAAUAUUUAUGUUUUUCAACAAAUUUGUCAAACAGUAGAUAUUUUACGCUCUUUUUGGUGAUUGAAAACUGAUGCACCAAGAACGUAAUCUGGUUUUCUAGAGAAGAUGAGUAAGCACAGAAAGGUCUGAUUGGUUUAUUGGGCCCAUGUGGUUAAGGUGUGCCAAUUUCCGUAGCCAAGAGCAAUGUACAGGAGUGGAUAGCAACAGAUGUGCCUCUCUCUGCUUUCUGGCCUAAAAGAAGAGGUUUCCAGUUAUAUUAAAGUAGCCAAAUUUUACAGAGGUUUGGAUUGGAACUAAAAUUUACAGAUUGAGAUCCACAGUAGGAUUUUGUUUGCCUGUAAGCAACUAUAAAUACAGUGGACAUAAGUGGAUACCUCUGUGUGGCGAUGUCUUUGAAGUCAAACCCAAAUGUUUGAACAGCUGGCUUUUUGCAGGUUAAACACAAGUCCAGUUAUACUGUAUUUUUAUUAUUUAGUAUUGUAACAGUAGCAACGUAAUUAGCUCAGUAUUGUUAUUUUUUGUUUUAUGCUGUGCACUUCCAAGAUAAUUUGAUUAAGAUAAUUUUGUCAUUUUGUUAAUUACUGUGGACAUGUAUUGCAUAAUGCAGAAUACUUUCUGAGCAAAUUAGCUCCAUGCUGCUGUGGCCUAUACUCUCCUGCUUCACUUAAAGGUUAUCAGUUACCACAUAGUAUGUGGGGUAGACAUACCCACGGAUGCUAUCCUGUAGAGUUUAUAGUUUAAACAUGCAAAACAGGUGACAAGUAGGAAGUUUCCCAUGAUCUGCAGUCAGAGAUGAUGUGCACAGCCUGCAGGACCUAGUCGCUGCUCUGUUCGUAUUGCCGUCCCUUUGCAAGAGCAGUCUAGCAUAGAUUAAAAUACUUAAUCACACUCACACAAAAGACUUUUUUUUAAAUUUUAUGAUUAUUAUUGUAAAGUAAAUGUCAGCUUUUCCAUCUGCCCCUCAACAUAACUGUCAUUAAUUAGCUGAUUUAAUUUAGACGUUGCAACAGAGGUGGAUUUUUAAGGAUAGAUUUCAAAGAAGCAAGGACAAUCGCCUGACAGCUCAGUUCAAGGAAGGCACUCCAUGUGUGAGGGGCAGGGUGGAGCUGUGUGUGAAAGAACCUGACAAACAGCAGAGAAGAUUGUUAUUGUUGGUGGAUUAGAAGAAAGUAUAUGCGUGUGUGUAUGUGUGCGUGAAAGAGAGAAAGAGAAAUGUGAUUAGAUACAAGAACAGGAAAAUAAAGAAGGGUGGAUUUUUGAAGCUGAGGACAAGGAGCAAGGACUUGUUGUGAAACCAGGAGGGAUUGAAAGGGGAAUGAGUGAUGUGGUCAGAGUAGACAAGGCAUAUAUCCCCAAGGGGAAAAAAAAAAAAAAAGAGGCACUGUCUCUUGAUAAGCUCAGAAAGCACAAAUUAGCAGAACAACCUCUGCUUCCAAAACCUUUUAGAAGCUGAACAAUUUUCGAGGAAGAAAAGAGAGAUGGCAUCCAAAAUAGCACGUAAAAAAAAAAAAAAAUCCAAGCAAGGGCAUUUGCAGUGCUAAAGCAGAAUGUUAAUUGAAAUCCUACUGUGCCAACAGGAACAUUGGAAAGAGACCAGUCAGGAUUAGACUAAUUAAGAUGUCUUUAAAAGAAAGCAGAUAAAGAAAAAAAAAGCUACUGAAAAACUGAACAGGUUGGUUUGUCUUAAAGAGGAAUUUACCCAAUAUACAGAGAAAUCUUAAAGAAUUUGUGAAGUGUGUCCAUCUUGCAAAACAUGAAUUGAAGUAGGCUGGAGCAUUGAUUCAGUUAAGGAAAAGUUGCCUUCUAAGUAUCUUUGGGUCCUGUUGUCUGGGAAUGUGCUGAAUAGUAUCUCUUCAUAGAGGUAUUUUCAUUUUGAAGAGAGAUGCUAGUGCCCACUUUAAGGAAGUUGGUGGCUACUGUAAAACCCCUUGUAGUGGGUUUCUCUGACAUAAAAUACUUAAGGCUUGACACCCUCCUUACCUGUCUUCAUUUGCACCCAUUUAGCUUUGUGGUUUUGGCUGUGGAAAGGUGCAAAUGGAAGUUCAUUUUUGAAUGGCUGAAUGGAAUUUCUUCUUUUACCGAGGUAAGGAUGAUGUCUAAGGUGACCUUGCCACAAAUGCGAUAGAGAGGAGAUAUCCUUCUCUCUGAGCUUUUACUACAGAGUGCUCUUGGGCAGCACCAAAGUGCUCACAUGGCACUAGAAAAAUGAGAGUAAAGAUGGCGAUAGCAUUUCGACUUGCCUUUGCUAGGACUAUUGUGAUAUGGGACACACAGAUAUGAGUCUGACGUCAUUGGUAGAAGCAAUGUUGUGGGGCAGCUUCCACAGCUGGAGCUGAUGACCCACAUCCGAAUCUCCUACAGCCCUUGGGAAGAGAACCAUUUCUCCUGACUUUACAGAGUGAUAACGACAUUUGACUGAAGAAACCAUGAAUAUUUUAAUCCUUUAAAAAGAGUAAGAAGUGUCUCUAAUGUUGAGUCAAGCUGUAUGAAUUAUUCAGUGUGAACAAGUGAGCCAAUUUAUUGGACCUUUUCCUUGUUCACAGAUCACUCACAACCUCAUCCUUCUUUCCAUGACCACAGUUGCUUUUCUCUAGUGUUCUGCAAAUAGCUUAUACAAACGUAAGCCACUGGAACUUGUGAUCUCUUUCCUUCACCCAUUAUUAGCUGUUAGCCUUGCACAGUUUUCCAAAUUAUUGCUUUUCAGUGGUUGGAUGGGAGGACUUUUAAACUGGGAAAAAAUUAAAUAGUGAAUCUUGAAUAAAUAUACAUAUAAACAUACAUAUAUUUAAUUAUAUUUAUAAUAAAUAUAUAUAAUAAAUACUGUUUAAUACAAAAUUUCAAAUAUGUCUAUUUGUGCAAAAGGCAGCUCUUAUCUAUGUAAUCGAAAGAACAAAUAAGAAAGUGGACUUUACCGGGGCUUGAGUUGUGUAAUAGCCUGACAGGAGUGUUCUCAAGAGAGACGAUCUCAUGUUGGCCACAUCCAUUUGUUACUAGCCCUGAAAAUGAUUCAGCUAUUCAGAGAAGCAUGACAUCUAAUGCACACUUACUGUAUUCAACAAUAGUUUUAAAACCUGGUUGUGUAUUUUACUGGAGCUGAACAAUUGCAAAUUUAAUGAGACGUAUUAAUAUAGUUAAAUCAAAGAAUCUCUAAGGAACGUUUCAGAGCCUUGAUUUUAUACUAUUCAACUUGCUUGAGCUUUGCACUGGUGUAUGUAUUUAUUUACCAAAGCCACAGUCUUUCUACAAAAGUACUUUUUGUAAUGACAUUCUUGGGAAUUCUGCAGCUUUUCUCACAUUUGUACAUUUAUGAAGUCAACCCCAAAAAGUAAGCUUGUCAGUGUAAAAUCUACAUAUUGAUAUAGUACCUUUCUUAACAUCUGAUAUGAAACUAUAGACAAUGGGAAAGCCAGAGUCUUUCUAGGAAAUAGCACAGACAGAAAGUCCCAUUCUAAGCCAUUUAUCUAAGCAAAAUGGAGUGUACAAGGUACUAAACUAGCCUGACAACCUGUAUUUAGUAUAAUGAUUUAUUUGCUCUUUGGCAAGCUCUAACCAUUUACUAUUAACUAUUGCAGAGGAAAGGUAAGGUUAUUAUUACCCAUAAAGUAAAUAGUGAUACUUAACAAAACAGAACAUCUGCCCCCCUUAUUAAAAUAUUUUGACAGAUUUAAACUGGUUAACGUUUAAUCUCAUUUGUUAAUUAUGGGAAGCAGUAGUACGUGUUCAGAAGACACAAAAAUAAAUAUUUUUGUGAUUAGCAAAACUUGUUACACUCCAACAAUAAAUUUUUUUCUCAGGGUUCUUUAUUUAAUCUGAAAAUAAUGUAGACAUUACUUUGGCAUUCUUGUAAAUUCUGAGGCUACUUGGAACUAAGCCUACUAGUUUUAGAUGGCUUAAAAAAACAACCCUUACUUAUCUUACUAGAGCACAAAAAAGGGAAAUAUAAAACCAAUUUUUUGUGUUUAGCAAGACAGGCUGACAUACAGAAAUUGAAGGGGAUAGGCCAGAGUGUCUAGAGCGUUUUCUUGUUUUGAGAAUAUAAUCUGAAUGUUUCACUACUGGAUAACUGGAUAUUUAAAGUUGUUUUUUUGUUUUUUUUUUUCAAGAGAGCCUGAAAAUGUCCUAUUUUUAUGAUUUAAAGAAUGAGCACAAAAAUUGAAAACUAGUAAAAGGAAAUCAUUAGUUUUCAGCCAGAUCUGUUAUUUUGUCCAGUCCACUACAUGGUCACAAGACCACAAGCUGUUUGUCUCAAGAGAGGAGGCAGGGGCAGGGAGACAAGAAUAUCCAGACCUUCCCAGUCUGUGACUCUGUGGAUUCACUCUUGAUUGAAAUGAUUCUAUAUCUGUGAUUUGAAACGGAGAUACCAGAAACUUCAGCUAGGCUGUGCUUUUGUAACUUUAGAUGCUAUACCACUUUGGCAAGUAACUCAGUGCUCUACACUUUUUCUGCCUUUCUCCCCCCAUGUUAAAGGUUAUUCUUACCUACGUAGAAAAAGUUUUUAAUAACUUUUUUUUUUUUCUCUUAUAACAUUUUCACAGUAUCCAGCCUAGGCCUGUUUCUCAGCUGAAGGCUGUCAGUGUUGAACACAGACUCAAAAAAUUUGGAUGUGACUUUGUGUAAGUGGGACUAGUCUGCUUUGCAGCAGCUUCAUCUUUACAUGUGGUAGAAUGUCCGAAAUCUCUAUGCUCAUCAACUUUGUUUUAUAUAGCACUUUUUCUACAAUGUGUCAAAAGCAUUUUAAAGAACAAUAGCUACUGAGUUGAAUAAUCAAUUAUAGAUAAUAAUACAGCACAGUACAGAUAGCACAAAGCAUAUAAUUAUAGUAUUUGAUUUGGUUCUGUUAGAAGUCAGUGGCAAUUUAAUGUUCACAUCAUCAGUGAAAGCAGGAAGCCCACUGCAGACAAAUGCUCAGCACAGAGUUAGUUGUGAACACUGUAUCAGCUCUUCACAAAUGUCCGGUAAAAUUUCAGCUUAAACUGGAUCUUUCUGUGUUGAGUCCCGCCUAAAAGAUGAUCUAGAACAGUUUAAGGUAAUACUAGUUUAUCAUUUUUCAAAUAAGUAUUGACUUUUUGGCCUCUCUGUGGUCUGUAUCUAUAUUUAAAAUGUCAUCUAACAUCUGUCAAUACUACCUGGAAUAUAAUAUAUUCAGUGGAAUUCACCAGUUAUUUUAUACAAAUAUUCAUAAGCAAACUGGAAUUUUCUCAGCAUUUAUUCCAUUCUUAGAAAUUCAUGAAAGCAGCUUUUCCUGAGCAGUCCUCCCCACCCUUUUCUUUUAACCCAAAAUUUACAGCUAAUCCCUAAUACACAGAAAUGUAAAAUAUAUAGCUUAGUUGUGACUGCUGAUGUGAUUUUCAUGGCCUUGUUUGUACUUCAGCUGGAUGAGUGGAAGCCUUUUAAUCUGCUUGCUGCUGCAAGGAUUUUGCAAAAUGUGGUUUUAAAAUUGUAUCUCAGUGAAUUGUGGAACAUAGAAGCUGAAGAUUCACUGUCCCUGAACAUUUGAGCUAAUAAAUCUUGAUUGCAUGACUACUGUGAGAAGAGGUCUGGAAAGUGUUUAUGUCUUCAUAUGAUUUUAUUAAUUAUUCUCUCCACACAGUUAAUGCCUUUUCAGAAUAUAAUCUGAGAGUCUUUUUGUGUGUUCUUUGUGCUGUUCUGUGCUUUGAUGUAUUUUUGUAUUCCUUUCUGAUGAGAUCUUGUGAUCAAAACUUGUAGGACUGAUAGUAAUGGACAGGAUUGGACCCAUAAAUUGUGCAUAUUCCAUCCAGUUUCUUCAAAAGGGGAGGAGGUGGGCAGGUGCCAGUCUCUUCUCUUUGGUGACCAAUUAUGGAACCUGAGGAAAUGUCAGGAAGAUGUGCCAAGGGAGGCUGGACAUUAGGAAAAGGUUCUUCAGCUGGAUCAGGUCCCCCAGGGAGGUGUCACAGCCCCAAGCCUGACAGUGUUCAAGAAGAGACUGGACAACGCCUUCAGACACAUAGUGUGAACUGUGGGGUUGUCACAUGCAGGGACAGGAGUUAGAUUCGAUGAUCCUUGUGGGUCCUUUCCAACUCAGGACAUUCUAUGAUUCUACAUUCUAUCCAAUUUUUCUCAGUCUCCAGAUUAGUUCUCCAAGUCAUGAUCUCAUCUUUGCUUGAAUGAGGUUUUGAGUAUUUCCUUCUUUGUUUAGAGUGAAGCAGUCAUGACACUCAGGAACAUAAGACAUCAUUUUCUAAACCAGGAGACUUGAUGCUUUUAAUUAUUUCAAUUUAUUCCACAUGCAGGUUUGCACUUUUUUUUUUUUUUUUAAUCUAGACCUAGUGUAAGCAUAGAAAUGUAUAUAUACUGUGAACCUGUUUGCUUAGUUGCUUUCAUUUUGUGGUUUCUUCACUUCUGUGUAAGUUUAGGUUGUUUUGUCUAUGCAUAGAUUUUUGAAACUGUGUUAAACAUGGGUCAAAAACAUAUAAUCUCUGUAUAACAUGUAUAGAUGAGCUCUUCUAAUCAAGUUUUAAGAGAGAUGUAGGUUAAAAACUUAUGCUCUCUCAGCUGUGUGGGAAGCGGUGGAAGAACAGAAGCUGACUGCUUAGUACAGCACAUAGAAAUAUGUAGCAGUUACUUUCCUCAUAGUAAGUUUCAAAUCUAGACUUAGAGAUGACAAAAACUUCAAAAUAUUAACCCUUCAAAUGCUCUUAGGCCGUUACUCAAUCUUUUCUCCUAUUUUAUCCUAUUUUGUAAAAAAUUUUUUCCUCCCACACUUUGUUUUUUACCAAAAAAAAAAUAGACAUUCCCAUCCUAAGUAAUUACCACCCUUCUUUUACAGCCUUACACUUCCAUAAGAUGAGCUAUUGUGCUAAAUAAUUAGCACAUGCCAUUCAGAAUAUUAUAAGAAUUAUAUGCAACAUCAAGCAGGAACUAUACACUGACACAUGACCAUAUUUUCUUUGAAGCUGCACUAAAUAGAAAUUAGGCAUGAGCAACAGGUGUAUUUAAAGCAAGUUAUUAGCUGUUAAGGGGAAAAAAAUAAAGAGAACAGUGUCAUAUUCAACCAUUAACACAGUAAAGCAUUUUAAAGUUUGCAACGAUUUGAAUCACGACCUCUUUGAACAUAUCCUUUGCUCAUUUGCAUACACAAACAUUAAUCCUGUGCUUGAACACAAAAAUGCAUUUACAUAAAAAUACAUUGCGAUUUAUAAUUUAUUAAGUAAUUGUGGUUGAGAUGUUAUUUGAAACAAAGAAAACAACUGUUUUUAAAUGCCAACCCCUACAGGAAUAUAAUGUAUAGCAACUUUUUAAUAAAGAAGAGGAAAUAUUUUCCUUCUAGCAUGUCACUAAUUAAUACAGAUUUUCUUUUUGAUAUAUGUAUUUUUUCAUGGAGUUUUGUGCUCCAAUGUGAGGUAUACUACAAUAUACUGGAGAUCUUGGAGAUUAUAUUCCCUGCUUAAAUAGUGGGUAAAACAUUAUCACAAAAUUUAUCCUUAUGUUGCCCAGUUAAUGCACUAGGUCAAGCCUUCUAGAAGAUUUCUGCAGGGUGUACUUUACUUGUGUAUCCCAGUUGAAGAUGGGCACUGGACCAUGCAGAUUGGAGUAAUUUUGGUAUUUGAAAACUGAGAACUCAAUGCACUGUGGGAAGGUAAAGCGAUUGGAAAGGUCACUGGUGAACUCAGGCAGCAGAGGAGCAAGGAAAUUUUACAUUUCAGUUUUGGGAUGAGAUGCCUAAAGCGUUAGUUUGAUGGCACUGGAAAUAGUAGUAGGGUUUUUUAAUGAAAUUAAGCCCUUCAUGUGUGUCUAGAUCCCCUAGCCAUUCCUGCCUGUACAGAACAUUGGACUUGGCUGAGGCAGUUUCAGCUGCGUCCUGGGAUCUCCAGAACCUCCUUGUAGCAGAAAUCUACCUCCUAGUUUCCUUUGGCAUUCCAAGCACAAUUUAUUAAUGGGAGGUGAAGAAUGGCUUCAAAAUGUCUCAGGGAAAGGCCCCAGGCCUUGUUUACUUUGAAUUUAUUCCUUGUGUUCUUCUCCCUUCUUAGCAACCUCCAGCCUCAAUUUGUAUCUAAUGUAGGCAUUUUUCGUAGACUCUCACUCUUUCAGUAGGUUUAGCAUUUGUUCAAUCCAUAUUUGAAUUGACCGUGUUUGAAUUGUCCUGCAGGCUGCAAGGCACACAGUCCAUUGAGAACACAGGAGAGAGACACCUGGAGAUAGCCACUUCAAGGCUUUUCAGCUCUGUAGCCAAAAUCUAAAAGGAUUAGGAACUAUAGUCUCAGCUGGGCUUUUUCUUUUGUCAGGAGAAGUAACAGUAAGAGGUAGAACCUGGGGCAGGUUGGUAGAACCAAGGGGGAGAACUUGGGACAGUCGUGCUUGUUGCUGCUAGAGGGAUAGACUGAUCUCAGUAGAAGCCUUUUCUCUUUCCCUGAACUGGUAGUCUUGACCUUGACCGUGUUUUGAGCCAGUCCUCGGAGGUAACUGGCCUUGUUUGCAGGAAUAUGGCUAAAGCAAAAGAAAGCAGGUGCAAGUACCCAUCACUAUCCUUUAUGCUCAUAACUGUUUCUUACUGUCAUUGUAAAAACAAGCUUGACCCCAGGGUUGAAAUGGUCUUUGGAGGUUCUGUGAUGAAAAUAUUUAGGGAGCUGCUAAACUCUAAAGAUGUCCUUGUUGAGCAUGUACAAAUGUAGUUGUAUUAAAGGCUUAGUAACUGACCAAAUGUAGAAGAAUUUCCACAGAGGUACCAUAAGAUGCAUCAGUGUCCAAAGAAAGACCCUGCCCUGAAUAAUUCACUGUGAGAAGCAGAUGGCAAAUAAAGAAUAUAUCAACCCACAUGACUAAAAUUUAUUAAGAUUUUAUAACUAGGUUUGUAUUACGUCUUGCCUUAAAUCACCAGCCUCACCUCUAAUUGUGGCUAUAUGGGGUCUCUGAACUUGGUGCUUUAUGCAUGUCACAGGCUGUGGAUUGAGGCAGGUUUAGCAUCCUUAGCAGCAAACUGCAGGCGCAUCAAUUCUGUGGUGGA